AGGGGAUGAUACCUGCCUGGAAGGAGAGUUGCAGCCUGGUCGGGUGGAAAAGCUCCAGAAGGACCCCAGUCAAGCUGCGUCGACUGGGGUAGAAGCACUUCAGGUUUACCGGCUCCAGCAAGGAAGCAAGUUUGGCGGAGGUACCCAGCCGAGGUACAGGGAGCGCCGUCACAAGGGUUCUAUAAGGGAAAGACCCUCGCCAGGUAUAUUACAGUCAUAGAAUACAAAUAAUUCCCAAACACACCAAUGAUUUUAGUACAAAAAAUGUUUUUAUUUCUUUUAAUAUAUGCUUAAUAAAAAAGUACACAUGUGCAAAACAGUACUACAAAGAAAUGCCAUCAGAUGUACAAAACUGCAUGCAUGGUAAUGCAUCAUUCCCCUUGAGAAAUCUCAAGGGCCGAAAUGUUGGGUUUUUUUUGGUCUACAAGCUCUAGGUCAGUAUACCUUGUAUAUGUUAUAUGAGUUUUUGGUAAAAACACUUUAUGUCCUUUACUACUAUGCAUGCAGUUUUGUACAAUUGAUGGCAUUUCGUUGAAGUUCUGUUUUGCACAUUUGCAUUUUUUUGUUAAGCAUAUAUUAUAAGAAAUAAAAACUAUAUUUGUACUAAAAUCAUUGGUGUGCUUGGGAAUUAUUUGUAUUCUAAACCAGGUUUAUUGCCUUGCCCUGUGUCCUCGGGUCUUCUUUUUUAUAGGAGCACUAUAGGAUCAGGAACACAAACAGAUAUUUCUGACCCUAUAGUGUUAAAACCACCAUCUAACCCCCCUGGCCCUAUCUUGCCUCCCUAAAUAUAGUAAAAACUUACUUGUAUUCAAGCCUGAAGCUGCUGGCUCUGCCCCUGUCUGCCUCAGACCUGCAAGCUGUCUGCUGACAUCAUCAGAAGUGUUGUUCUGAACCAAUCACAAUGCUUCCCCAUAGAAUUGGCUGAGACUGCAAAGGAGGCAGAUCAACACAAGUCAAAUGCUGCCCUGGCCAAUCAUCAUCUCCUCAUAGAGAUAAAUUGAAUAAAUGAAUCUCUCUGAGGAAAGUUCAGUGUCUGCAUGCAGAGGGUGGAGACAUUGAAAUGCUGUAAUGCAUACUAAGCAAGACUGCUUAAGGAAGCAUCUCUAGCAACCAUCUGAGCAGUGGCCAGUGGAGUUAUCACUAGGCUGUAAUGUAAACACUGCAUUUUCUCUGAAAAGACAGUGUUUAAAGCAAAAAGCCUGAAGGGAAUGAUUCUACUCACCAGAACAAAUUCAAUAAGCUGUAGUUGUUCUAGUGACUAUAGUGUCCCUUUAAAUUGAGGAUUUGUAAGCUGACAAUUAUAAUACUGUUACAUUUUAAUAUAAUGUAUUGUUUCAGAACUAGAAUUGUGUUCAAUUUCAUGCAUACUUAGCAAUACACUGUUAUGUGUUUCAAAGGCACUCAAAGAGUUCAACAAAUUAAAGAAAGAUAAAUUUUUUAUGUUGACUAUUUUAUGUGAGUCCAAUAGAUCCGGAUGUGGUGAGGUAGAGUUUCUAGGUGUGGAGUCAUCUCUAUCAGUGGAGUCUGGCACCUCUCUGACAACUUCACCAGCUUCUACAUAUUUCCAAAACAGCUUUCUAUCCUCACUUAUAAUUGGGGCACUCUUAGUAAAUAUAAAUAUUUUACAGUACAUAAAUAGAAGCAGUAUGUUAAUUAAUACAUUCAGUGUUUGACCAAUAACCUGAAGACUAUUAAAGCUCCUGUGUACGUAAUAGGGGAUUUAUUCUGUAACAGAACAGGAAAUUUUCCUUCCUGUGCCCGAGUUCCUUAUUUUCCCUUUCUCAGGCACACAUUGUAUUGUAGUUGUACUUUUGAAGUUUUAAAAGACUGAUAUACUGUUAUAUCAAAGAAGCUGGAUUUUUCCCAUGCUUAUGCAAAAGAAAGUGCAACUAACAGGGAUGUGUCUGGUAUGUUAUUCCAGAGGCUGGGUGUGCACUGUAAAGUGUUGAUAUUAUUAGGAUUUGCAAGGAGACUGUUCGUCAUUCAUUAUUCAUAGGUCAUCUGAAAGGCAUUCCAUGCUCACUGUUUCAUCCAAGUCAAGAUCAUAUGUACAGCGUGGCUGUCAGAUGAUGAUUACUGUACUAAACUGCAAUGAAGUAUUGCAUGUGUUCAUUAUCAUCUGCACUUUGUAUGCCAUCACACAGUUUGCUAAAAAAAAUAUCUAUUAAAAAAAUAUAUAAAAAAAAAAAAAAAAUCAAAUAUUUGCAGUUAAUAAAUUUUGAGUAUGUUGUACUAAAUUCUUUGAAUGUUUGAGAUGGUCUGAAUCACCUACGGUGGUAAUGCUGUGAACAUUUUUGUCCACUUAAAUGGUUAAUGAUCAUUAAAAUUCCUAUGCGCUGAUACAGCUAGGAAAUUCAGAUGGUACUUCAUAAUCAUCAUUAUGAACCAGUGACUAGAAGAGGCAUGUCUUAGUAUCAAACUUAAGUCAGUAGUGCAACAUGUUGUGGUGCAACAUUGGUAAGACACAGUCAUCAGACUCUUUCACAUGUGUGUUUUACUUUUCAAGGGAAAAGGACAUGCAUGAUAUAGUAUAUUAACCCCUCUUGUACCGCACUGGACAUAAAAAGCCACUCUGGGGAAAUGUGUAUGCAUCUGUGUAGUGCAUUAUGUCAUUAUACUGUACAGAUAUACAGGUAGGGAAAAAAAAAAUAUCCAGACAACUCUUCAGCCCCAUUACAUUAACAUCUUGAGAAAAAAAAAAUGUUUCCUUUCAUGUUUACCUGCUUCUUCUUUCUUAUGCUUUCCACACCCACUCCAGGGAGGACACUGAUCUAACCAAUCACUGUUCUAUCCCUAGGAAUGCUGGAAAAGUGUACUGGGCAUGCCUCACAGCUUGACACAUGUGCAGUUGGAAGAUCUCUUCACCUUGCAUCAUCUUGACAGGGGGAGAAGAGCGGGAGUCUGAUCAGUGUAAUCAUACAGAGAAGGCUCUGGUAUCGAGUUUAUCUCUCCUUCUGUUACAUGGUGCCAGUGGCGUACUAAGGGGCUGCAGCUUUGCCCGGGCGGUGCGUCCAUGAGGGUGCACCGCCCGGGCGCAGCAUGAGGAGAGGGGCUGACAGGAGGGAAGCGCUCAGCGCUCCCUCCUGUCACUCCCUCUGUUGUAGCGUGGCCGAGCCCUCUAUUGGUCCGCGGGUACAGGGACCAAUAGUGCACACAUAGUGGAAAGGAAACAAAAGCUCCCUGUACCCGCGGACCAUAGAGUACUCGGCCACGAUACAACAGUGUGUAGCGGAUUUUUGGAUAUGUUGUUCACCCAGAUCAGGGCUACCAGGGGAUGUAUGAUUUAAGGGGGUACCCCUACGUUUAGGGGUACAUCCAGAAACGGAGGGAAUUGCUGGACUGGAUAAGGGGAUUAUGAUGCAGGCUGAGGGGAGGAGAUGUGUGGGAGGUUACCAGGACAGGAUUGGCUACUGUACUAAUGACUGUAAAUCCCUCCCUUGCAUGGGAGCAUGCUUUAAAAGGCCAGUGUGGAAUAAAGAUUUCAGUUCUGCUCCUGAAACUGUGUGUCGUCCAGUUAUUGGGAUUGCUGUUGGGAUACUGCUGUGUUAUUUUGCCUGCUGGAAACCUUGCCUGUGGAUUUACAAUUUACUUGUUCCUGAGCCUCACUUGGAUUAUAAGCGGAGAUAACCUGGGGAAGGUGGGGGAAGAAAUAGGAGGAGGUGGGGGGAAAGAAACGUGGGGGAGAAAGAAAUUAAGAGGAGGUGGGGGGAAAGAAAGAAAUUAGGAGGAGGUGGGGGGAAGAAAGAAAAGGAGGAGGUGGGAAGAAGAAAUUAGGAAGAGGGGGGAAGAAAGAAAUUAGGAGGAGGGGGGUGUAACGGAUCAUCUGGAACCCCGACUGGGUACCUCCGUUGAAGGAUGCUCCUAGCACUUCCUGAGGACUCCAAGCACUGCAGCAGACACCAAAACCACCGAACCGUAGAAGCAUAUGAAUGCUCUCAAGCAUAUGAAUGUUGUAUACAGCCGAAUAGGAAAAACCAUGCGAAUAGGUUUACACUCCUAGCAGUCAAACUGGAACAGCAUACAAUAAAUCCUCCCCCAAUAAUGAGACAACACUUCACUUUGAGGGUUAAGCAGGAACUGACUGGACUGGCACAUACAGCCUCUUUUAUUCCCAAUCCACAAACUUAGUACUGCCCACAGGGUUUUACAGAACAACCAAUCAAUCUGUACAAUACACACAGACACUCCCACACAAAAUCCUCCCUUCUGCCUGUAAUACAAUUACCUUACACAAUGGGUAAUCUAAUUAUCACAGACAGAGAAAUACAGUUUCAUAAAACACAUCACAGGGACCCCAAAACAUACAAUAACCCCAUAAAAAGUAUAUCCUUGGAACCGGGGGAUCUGGGUGAACCACAUAUCCAAAAUUCACCCAGAUCCGUUCAGUACUUUGGAAGAUACAGUUUAAUGCAGAUUCUGCAGAACAUAUACAGGCUAAAUGAAAAACAAUCACUGUAUAAUGUGUCCCCUGCUGUAUAGUCCAAAACCACUGCACGAUGUCUCUGUGCACCAAAUACUGGCGAGAUGGCACCGUGUUGAAAAGUCCAAACAGUGUCUGUGAGUUAAAAUGGCCGCCAUCCAUUGUUCUCACCAUGUGCUUCAUCCAUUGUUCUCACCAUGUGCCUCUGAUACAGGAAAUGGUGGCCACCCAGUAACUCCACAGUAUGUCCCCAGAUGGUUCUUAAAGGGCCAGCAGCAGCACAACACAAAUCCAUUAUGCCCAAAUCAUGUCUUUAAAGGGCAAUACAUCCCAGGGGCCAUAGUCACAUGGCAGGAGGCUGGCAAUCAGUCUUCUCCUAUGCCCAGUGGCGAGGUCGGUUUCGCCACAGGGGGGAAGAAAGAAAUUAGGAGGAGGGGGGAAGAAAGAAAUUAGGAGGAGGGGGGGAAAAGAAAUUAGGAGGAGGGGGGAAGAAAGAAAUUAGGAGAGGGGGGAAUAAAGAAAGAUUAGGAGGGGGGGGAGAAAGAAAGAUUGGGAGGAGGGGGGGAGAAUGACAUUCAUUACACACACAUACACACAAUGCACCCCUUGCACACAGAAAAACACACAAUGCAUUACACACACAGACACACAUACACAAGCAAUGCAACCGUUACACACAAUGCAUCCUUUACACACACAGAAACACACAAUGCAUUCAUUACACACACUCAAUGCACCCCUUACACACAUUCAAUGCAUCCCGUACAUACACAGAAACACACCUUGCCGCCCUUACACAUACAAACACAAUUUCACACAAUGCAUUCCUUACACACAUAUCAGGACAUCCCCUACACACUCCACCCCCUGAGACCUUGAGCUGUGUAAAGGGCCUCCAAAAAAUGGAGCUGCUUCCCGUUCUCCCAGAACAUUGAUUUUUUUGACCACAGUUACAAACUGCCUCCAGAGAGCCUGUUCUACACCAGACCAGUGGAGCCAGACUGCAGCUAGAGCCCAUCAUCAUCCUCAUCUGGCACUAAGCUCUAAUUUACCUCACAUUAAAGAAACACUAUAGUCCCCAGAACCACUGCAGCUUAAUGUAGUGGUUCUGGUGUCUAUAGCCUGUCCCUGCGGCGGCACUGCAGCACUGGCGUUAGUUAACAUGGCAAAUCAUAUGGGUGGGGCAUUGUGAUGUCACAUGGGGGGGAUGGCAAACUUUACUUUUUGCAAAAAUCCUUGCACUGGCCCUGGCUGGAGGGGGCUGUGCCCCAUGGUAGUUAGGGUGCCGUGCAGCCAGUACAGCUCACACAAGCAAACAGCUGAUAAACUGGCCACAUGGAGGAAAAGUGGGGUGGAGCUAAGCAAAAUUGGGGCGGAGCCAAACUGGCACUGGGGGCGGGGCUUAAUAUGGCCCUUACCCACUGCUGUUAGAAGGUGCAGCAAGAUGGAAUCUCUGCUUCUCCACAGGCUUCAGAGAAGGACUUCAGGGAAUCCAGUCCUCCUCCAUUCCACUGUCUGUAAGUAAGAGUGUGUGUCUGUGUGUGUGUGUGUGUGUGUGUGUGUGUGUGAGACUGUCUGUGUGUAACUGUCUGCCUGUAACUGUGUGUGUGCGAGUGACUGUCUGCCUGUAACUGUGUGUGACUGUCUGCCUGUAAAUGUGUGUGUGGGGCUGCAGGGAUUUUGUAGAAGGGGACGGGGGUUUUGUAUUGGGACAGGAGUCUUUAUAAGGGGGAUAAGCAGGGGAUUUGUGGAAGGGGGUUUGCAAAACCGCUGUCAGCCCCUCAUACAAAACCCUUGUCCUGCCCCUUCUACAAUUCCUGUACUGCCCCCCCCCCCCUUCCACAAAUAUCAACACAUUCAAAUUUACGCUGACCUCUCCGCGGCGACAAUGGCGAGGAGGAGGGAAUUCGUAGAUGUGACAAAAACUCUUCAGAACAACAAUAUCCCUUACCGUUGGGGAUACCCAACAAAAUUGCUGGUGUGGUACCGAGACAGAACUGUGCCAAUUCUAGAACCAGAGGUGGGCAUGGCAAGGCUGAAGGAGUGGGGCCUGCAUCAUGCCCAGGGUCAGGCCUUCCGGAGUGGAGGAUGGCUGGCACCCUUGCAGCCCCCCAUUCUCGAGCCUGAAGUGCCUGCAUGCCUGAAGAUCACCUCAUCGCCAGACAUUUGAGUAUCACAUAUGUUAGAUAUACGUUCACUGUUAAUGUAUUUUACUUGGCGAGUGGGUACAAAUGUAUAGAGUAUUUGUUAUUGGAAGGGUCUCUACAACAGAAUAGGCCCGUAUGUUUAAUUGGAGCGGGGGCCUUUCCGCCCACGCUCAUGCAUUUAGGCCCGGCCCAGAUUAGCGUGUGGCCUACACAUCUGAGCGAAGCGCCUCAGCUUUAAAUAAUUCUCACACAACCGCAGGGAGUUACUCCCCAUGGCGAACAGUCCCCAUUCGCUCUAGACACCAUCACCGAUUGAGCGGCCAUUAGGCCCAGAGCGCCAAUCUCCAGGUGUACCACUCCCCGAUAACACUGUGCCUACCUGUUAUACUUUACCUGUUAAUAGCCACUAUUUUAUGUCUGUGAAUGUAACUAGCAUUAGCUAGAACUUGAAAAGCCAGUUGCCAGCACAGGCGAGGGAAAAGGGGGCUAAUGCGUCCCCGGCCGGCAGGGAAUCCCCGGGGAGACCCCAGGGAGAUGGGCAUAUUCAACAAAACCGGCCCAUACGGCCAACAGAUCUGGAGAUUCAUUAGCCCACGUUAGGCAUCCAGGCCUGCUCUAGAAUAUCUAGUAGUCGCCAAGUAUCAGUACCACCAUAAUUACUGUUAAAACGCCCAUAUCUGCUGGAAACCUUUCCCCAUGGCGGAAAAACCUUUAACUCCCUAGUCACUGAUAUUGACUGAGCGGGCAGCUGGAAUAGAGCACCAGCCUUCAAGUUACCGUUUUCCUAUUCUACCGAGUCUACACGAUGUAUACCACAUGCUAUUGGUUGUUAUUGCAUGUAUAUGAAUGUAACUUUUGUUAGCCAGUACUUGAGUAUUACAUGUUAGCACAGACGAGGGAAGGGGGGGCGAUUAUGUCCCCAACCGGCAGGGAACUCCCGGGACGUCUCCAGGGGUGCUCUAUUUCUCCACUAAACAGAGAGUAGGCGCCACCAGUGGAGGCCGCGGCCCUAGCCACUAAAAAGGCACACAUAGCGCCCCCCGAACAUGCCUAUAGGACUGGGGAUCACAUCUCAUACCCCCGACUCAACCCAUGGGACCCAGGACUACAUGCUUCCUGGUGGAAUCUGGGCGGGGAGGAUGGCCCCCCUUGCGUUAAAGCUAACGAUAUGUAGGCUCUUAGACGUUCCAUUUUAAAAAAUAAAUAAAAAAAAAAUAAAAAAAAUUAUGAUGAUUGACCUGGCACGCAACACAGGGGCCUCAGUCAAUCCCCCAUGCGUUUUGUAAGCCUGCUAAAUGGUACCAAAGGCCACACACUGGUGGAAGUCAUACCAAGUCCCCCACACCGAAAAAGAGUGAGGACACUCCUCACACGGAUUCGGAACCAAGCUCUGCUGGAAGCAGAGGUAAUAUAUUCUCAUCCCAAGUUCUUUGGGUUCCCCCUUUGUUAACCCUUCCCCUCAAAAGGAACCGACUCUAGCCCAACAAAGAGUAUCAAACCCCGCACAUACGCACAAAGGCGCACUAUCCCUCGACCACAUGGCUCAACAUAUGUUUAAGAUAUUCUCUUUGAAUGUUAAAGGCUUGAACAGCCCUCACAAACGUAGCUUGGCAAUUAGGGACAUGCACAAAAUCUCGGGUGGCAGUGAUAUGCCUCCAAGAAACCCACCUUUGCACCCACAACCCUCCUAAAAUCCACACCAAACGCUAUCCUCAAGCCUUCCACGCGUACUCCCCAAACAAAUCUAAAGGGGUCUCCAUACUGUUUCACUCGGACUGGAUAUUCUAACCGAGCGUAUCACACAUCGAUGCAGCAGGGCGUCUCUUAAUACUGGUAGGCACACUCAACGGUAUCACCAUAACAUUAGCAUCUUUAUAUGCCCCCAACGACAGCCAGGUAACCUUCCUACGCAGAGCGCUCAAAAAAAUAGAUACAAUGAAACAAGGCCACACCAUAAUCAGUGGUGACUUCAAUUGCAGCCUAGAUCCCAUGCUAGACAUCAAGCGUGAUCACGACAAAAACCCGACAUCCGCUGCCUGUAAUAAUAGCAAAUCACUGUCCGACCUAGCAUUUGAACUAGAUUUAUAUGACACCUAGCGCAACUCGUACCCAACGGGUAGAGACUACACCUACUUCUCAACGAUCCACUCGACAUACUCACGCAUUGACCUAAUACUAGUUGACAAACAGACUCUUUCAAACAUAGCUGCAGUAGAUAUAGGUCUAAGGACGUGGUCAGAUCAUGCCCCAGUCACCGUCACUUUCAAUAGCUUAUACCCGGUUCGAGGGAGGGGUAAAUGGAGACUAAAUGAAGGACUGUUGGACGAUCCCGUUGCCUUGCAAACUAUCCACAAGACCGCGACCGACUACUUUAGGGAAAACGCGACCGACGACGUAUCCUUACAAUCCCAAUGGGCAGCACACAAAACCGUAGUUAGGGGCGUUCUAAUACAAAUCGGAUCACGCAAUAAGAGGAAACAUAACGAGGAGGUCUCUCGUUUAACCCUCGAACUGUCUGUAGCAGAAAAGGAGAACAAACAAAACCCCUCUACUAAAUAAUCCAAAACCAUUGCCCGUCUACAAAGGGACCUCAACGCCCUUUCCCUACAAAACCUAGAGAGGAGUAUGAGAGCUCUCAGGCUUACCCACUACACACAAGGCAACAAAGCAGGAAAACUAUUUGCCAACAAACUAAAGGCCCAACGCCUCCAGUCGAAAAUACGAAUCGCAACAAAAUAUUAAAAUAUACAACCCCACAGACAUAGUGAACACGUUAGCCACCUACUAUACCAAACUGUAUAACCUAAAAGAUGACCCUGUGGUGAUCCAACCGACACUCGAGUCCAUAGACGGGUUCCUUCACAAUACCGAGCUCCCACACCUAUCACAACCACAAAGAGAUGCCCUCGAUAGACCGUUCACAGAGGAAGAGGUCUCAAAAGCAAUAGCGUCCCUUCCGAAACACAAAGCACCUGGCUGGAGAUGGUUUCUCAAACUAUUACUAUAUUAAGCUAGCACAGAUUCUGACCCCUAUCCUCACCUCACUAAACAACCGGGGCCAUGCCAAAAGAAAUGUUAGAAGCGCAUAUAGUUACGCUACCCAAACCGGGCAAACUACCUACUAAAUGCGAGAAUUUGAGGCCUAUCUCCCUCCUAAAUGCGGACGUCAAGCUCUAUGCCAAACUCCUCGCAUCCCGGGUAAAACCACUCCUUACAGAAUUAGUAUCGGCAGAACAAGCGGGGUUUCCCCGGAAGACAGGCAGGGGAUAACACAAGGCACUGCUUAAACCUGAACAGUUGGGCGGGGUCCAGCAAUCAAAGGGGGGUAGUCUUAGGGCUCGACGCCGAAAAGGCGUUUGACCGGCUAAAUUGGGUCUACUUAAAAGCAACCCUACAAAAAAUGGGCUUCCCACACUCGUUCAUGGGGGCCAUUAUGGCAUUAUACAGUGCCCCAUCUGCUAGGGUCUUCAACACAGGGUUCCUAUCAGAGCCACUCACAAUAAGCAAUGGAACCAGAUAGGGGUGCCCCCUGUCACCCCUGCUAUCCAUCCUCUGUCUGGAACCGCUCAUUUACUACAUCAAACACCACACAGAGAUAAUGGGUCUCACCACUCCAGCGGGUACACAAAAAUUAACCUUAUUCACAGACGAUGUCCUACUUUUCCUCACUCAACCUGAAAGAUCGAUCCCGACAUUGCUGACUCUGUUGACCCACUACGGACGGGUAUCCUACUACAAAAAUAAUACUAACAAAACCCAGGUGCUACCACUGGGUUUACCUGUCACACUAGUAAGCAAGUUAAAGGCAGAAUAACCCUUUGACUGGAGAAACACAUCCUUAAAAUACCUUAAAUACCUAGGGGUCAACCUGACUGCCUCCCCUGCUAAAAUCACACGCGAAAACCACUUACCUUUAAUGAAUAGAUUACAAACACAACUGGACAAAUGGCAGCCACUGGAAAUCUCUUGGCUGGGGAGAGUGCAGACCGUCAAGAUGAUGGCUCUGCCAGAUAUAUUGUAUCUAUUCCGCACCCUGCCUAUAGCGUUACGAGACACGCUCCUCAAGAAAUUCCAAUCUAUUUUUAACUCUCACAUCUGGAAGAAAAAAAACCCAAGAAUAGCAUGUAGACUAACAUGGCUAGGUGCUCCUGACAUAAAAGCUUAUUACAAAGCAUCAGUUCUAGCACAGGGCCUAGAGGCCCUAACCCGCCCCAAGCCACCAGUGUGGCUACCCCUGGAGAACGCAACUCUUUAUCCAGACACAAUAAGCCAAAAAAUAUGGUCCGCAUCCGGGAGUGUGAAACCUCCCACAACAGGUCUACCCAGCACCAAAUUUCUGCUGGCCAGUUGGGGAAGAUGGGCGAAGGAUGUCAUGGGUCAAGCUCAUCCACUUUUUUUCGCCCCUCUGCUCCGGUUGCACGACCUAACUAGUGACCUCCCACUGAAAUUGUGGACAGAGAAAGGGAUCACUUCAAUAGGGUCCUUGAUAACUCCACAGAGGCAUCAAACAAUUCCCCGAGCUGCAAACAGAAUUCGCCCUACCCCCUAGGGAAUUAUUCACAUAUUUAUGCAUCAAGCACGCUCUAACAUCUAUGAACAUACAACACUGUGAGGCAGAACAACUGACGACCUUUGGCCAGCGGUGUAUCUCCACUCAUCAGACCAGUAAACCCCUCUCCCUGUGCUACAAUGCGAUAAACGAUGAGGACAGGACCACGAAACACCCGUAUAUGCUCCAAUGGGAACGCGACCUGGCAGUCUCGUUCCCUCUUCCUAUGUGGCUACAGUUUCUCCAAUCCACCCGAGCUUUAUCUCAUAACCUAACCCACUGGGAGGCCUUCUGCAAAUUACUGAUGAGAUGGUACUUAGUCCCUACACGUUUAGCCCAGAUGUACCACUCAACAUCGCAGGCCUGUUGGAGAUGUGGAGUCGGGAUAGGCACACUAUUACACAUGUUCUGGGAAUGCACCAAACUGACAAACUUCUGGCAACAAGUCAGAGACCUGAUUAAGACUACCACAGCGGUGGACAUCCCUACACGCCCAGAAUGUUGCGUCCUACACCUACAUGCUGGAAUGCUGACAUCACCUCACAAAGCGGUCCUUUGUCACAUCAUUCUGGCCGCGACUCACAAUCUACAAGAUGUAUCUCCAUGUCUCAUGCUUGUACAGUGAUAAAUGAAUAUGUCGAUGUAAUGUUACAUCCCUCUUUUUUCCUUUCUGUAUCCCUCACCCCAUUUGACCUUUGUAUGUCAAAUAACAAAAAUAUUAAUAAAAACAAGACACUGAAAAUUAAUAAUAUACUGAAGCUUGUUUGAGCAGGGUCCUCUUCAACCUAUCAUUCCUGUAUGUUUUCUUGUAAUUGUCCUAUUUAUAGUUAAAGGACCACUAUAGUCAUCCAGACCACUUCAGCUUAAUAUGGUCUGGGUGCCUGGUCCAUCUAGGAUUAACCCUUUCUGCUGUAAACACAGCAGUUUCAGGGAAACUGCUAUGUUUACCUAUGGGUUAAUCCAGCCUCUAGUGGCUGUCUCACUGUGAUUUUCACAGUGAGAAGACGCCAGCGUCCAUAGGAAAGCAUUGAGAAUGCUUUCCUAUGGACGGGCUGAAUGCGUGCGCAUUCAGACAAUGACAUCAGAAGAGGGAGGAGAGUCCCAGCGCCAAGGGAGCCCGGCGCUGGAAAAAAGGUAAGGGAUUAACCCCUUACUCCCCCUUCAGUGCCAUGAGAGUGGUACCCUGAUGGUGGGGGAACCCUCAGGGCACUAUAGUGCCAGGAAAACAAGUAUGCUUUCCUGGCACUAUAGUGGUGCUUUAAAUCCUCCCUCUCAUAAUAUUGUAAAGCGCUACGGAAUCUGUUGACGCUAUAUAAACGGCAAUAAUAAUAAUAAUAAAACCCUUAAGAAAUAAAUAGAAUAAACGAUGAAGAUUCCAAAUGUAGAAACCCCUAAACAAAGUUAUUGGAGGAAAACCUGGGAGCAGGGUCUCUAGCAAAUAAAUCUGAUACUUCGCUAUUCUGCCAUCUAACCUACAUUUAUAGUUUAAUUUAUCUUUUAGUGUUGCUUUGGUAAAAAGUAUUGCUGUUUGGCUUUCUUCCCAGACUGAUCUUGAAACAAUUGCGUAGAAAUACAAAAUCAUUGCUUCAUUUCUUGACUCUUACUUGUUUCUCAAAUGAUUUAUUUAAAGCACUUUCUCGGCAUGAAGAAAGUUGGUAAAGCACAAUUUUUUUUUAGAUAAGGAGAAGAAGAGAGAGGGAAAGACAUAAUAGAAUAUAGAGCCACUUGAUUUUUAGGAUUUAAAAUGCAUAGAUCUAUUCCCAAUGCAGUGAAAUGCUGAUGCAGUGAUGGAGUAACUCGAAUAAAUGUGUUUAAUAUAAAGGCCCAGACAAGUUAUGUCUAGGAUAAUACACACAACUAAGGCGUGGGUGUGUGUGUGUUCCAUUCAUGUUAGCCAAUGGAAUGGUCGAAAGGGUUUAGCUAGUCAUCAGUUGGAAUGUUGAUCCUGGCAUUGUUAGUGAGAAAAGAAGGGCUACUAAUGGAAAUUGGAAAUGGAAUUGAGCGAGGCACUGCACUUUGGAUUGUCGUAGGUUUAAUUUGCCUUCUUGUAGCAAUAAGACUGUGUUGCCAUUUGCUUUAUGUGCUGCUUCUACCCUGUGCAUCAUAUUCAGCACAUAACUUUAAUAUGCACAGUUUUAAAGUGUCCUACACUUCCAACAUUUAAAUGAAGGACAAUCACAUUUGUGACUACCAGUGACUGACUUAAAGAGUUUCUCCAAAUGCCAUGACCACUUCAGUGAUUUAAGAUGGUCAUGGUGCUUAGAGUCUGUAAAGCCAGCAUUUGGCUAUGAAACAUAGCACAUACAGAGAGCCUGUUUGGUUACAGAGACAAAGAUGCACUUUGCAGCCCCCAAAUUGAUUCUUUGCCUGUGUGUCUCUUAACUCCCCUUUUCCCCCUCUUAGCCAUCCUUUUGCCCCUUUUUGGUAUAUUACUACUAUUUUGUGUUUUUUUCCCACCAUUUUAAAAUGAUGUCACCAUUUUUGUUUUGUUCCCUCUUUUCCUGCUUUUGCAUCUUUAUCCCCCUUUUGUGUUCCUACCCGCUCAUUUGUCUUUUAUCCUCCCUUUUGAAUGUCUUACUCCCCUAUAGUGUAUAUCAAACCCCCCCCCUUUUAAAUGUCUUACUCUUUCAGUGUAUUUUAUCACCUAUUUUGCCCAUCUUGUGUCACUUAACCACCCCCCCCCCCCUUUGUCUCCUUUAUUUCCCUUGCUUAUUUUACCACCAUGUAUUUCUUAACCACCUGGGUCUUUUAAGAGAGUUUCCAGCUGUCUGUCAGCUGUAGUGGUGGUAGGAAACAGGGACCAGCGGAUCCAAUGUGGGGUGAGUUGUUUUGUAGUGAAAGAACAUGAGAAGAAAAUUUUUUAUAUUUGCAUUUAUUUAUAACAAAGAAAAAAAAAACACCUUUGUAUGCAAAAGGAAAAAAAAUCUUCAUUAACAGGUUUAUUCACUAAAUACUGAAAUGUAGCAAAUUAAAAUCUGAUGGCAAAAUUAAGCAUAUAUAACUAUUGUCCCAACAUGGCUGUUUUUGCCUGAAUUUGACUAUGCACAGAGUUAUUCUCUAAAGUCUCAAUGGUCCAGUACAAUAUGGGGCAAAACCCCAUCAUUGCAAAUAGGGCCAUUCAAACUGCAAAAUAAGAAACAUUUUAAUAAGAUUAAAUAAUGCCUGGGUUUUGCAAUUCUGGCUCUGAAUGAGCCGAAUUUUGUAUGGAUUUCAACCAGACCAGCUGAAAUCCAGACCCAGAUUUUAAAUGUCUGAAAUAUUUUGCCACUGGCAGAGCAAGAGGCCAAUGAGUAUAUAGUUGAGAAAACAAAACAUGGCUUUGCAAGGGUUGGCCAGUGCUUACAAAAUAAAAAUGUUCAGAAAAUAUUGUACAUCCCCUCCUUCCCAUUGGCCUUGGAAGAGCUGGUAUUAAUACAAUAUGGGUUGAGGUGGCUAGGGAUGUGGGGAAACCUAAAAACCAGAAGGGUAAUGGAGAGGAUUGCACUCUUAUUUGCGCGGGGGAGCAAUGUCAAUGCCACUUUAUUUUAUUAAAUGGUUUAAUUAAUUUCAAUGGCCGAUGGGGGCUGAUAAGGGGCCAAAGUCAUCAUCCCCCAAUAUCUAAUAGGCUUUGGACAUAAUGUCCAUGUCCCUUUAUUUUUCAAAUGGUUUAAUUAAUUUUUAGUGAUCGGUGGGGGCUGGGAAGGGGCCAAAGUCAUCAUCCCCCAAUAUCGAAAAGGCUUUGGACCUCUGGACACCGGGGAAAUGGCACCCACUCGAGAUGGAUGACAAUGCCAGCCCCAUGUGACUAAUAGGUUUCCCCUGAUAAUUUACAAGUUGAGAACCUGUUAGCCGUUAUUGCUAGCAAUGCAUUAGAACAUACACGCUGGCGAUUAAAAAUAAAUAAAUACUGAAACUGCAAAAUAAAAUAACAAAAAAGUAUUACAAAUAUUUACAUUGUAACUAGUGCCCCAAGUUAAUCCAAAAAUACCUUGUAUUUUUAGGUAUAGAACAAGUUCAAGCAUACUGGAUAGGAGAUAACAUGAAACUAGCUAAAAAAAGAACCACUAGGAUUAAAAAACCUUCAGUAACAGGGAAUGAUAAUUGACAUUUAUCUCUCGUAUUUUAAGUAAACUACUACAGAUGUCUAGUUUAUUUAAUAACAAUCAUUCCUUUGAGAUGAAUUCAUAAAUAUAUUUUCAAUCAUUAGUUUUAUUUACUUUUGAAAAAAAACAUAUUUUUUGGUACUUUGUGUUUUGUCAUAUAUAUUUCUAAUUUUUUUUGUUUAUUUCAUAUUUAUUUUAUUUUACUUGUUUUCAUUUCUUUUUUCUUUUUAUAUUUUUCUAUAAACUAUUUUUGUUUACUUUUUAUUUUUUCUAUUUUCACAUUUUUGUUAUUUUUUGUUAGUCUCGUAUUUAUUUUUUAUUUUUGUUUAUUUUUAAUUGUAUUUUUUAUAUUUAUGUUUUUUUAUUUAUUUUCUUGUUACAUUUUUUAAUAAAUGAUCUAUUUUUUUAUUUUUUAUUCUUGUAUAUUAUUUUUGUAAAUUUUUUUCUUUUUAUAUUUGUAUUUCAUUUUUAUUUUCUCAGAUUUUUAGAUUAUUUUUCUUUUCUUUUUUUUCUUUUUAUAAUUUUCAGUAAAUAAUUUUUUAUUUACAUUUUUUCUAUUUCGACAUUUUUUUAUUUUCUUUAUUUCUGGAUCUUGUUUUCCAUUCUUUUCUUUUUUUUCUAUAAAUAAUUUUUUCACUAUAUUUGUGAAUACAUCCUUAUAGGGGAAUAAUGACUAAAUAUUUUAGUGUCAAUGGUUAUUCAAUAAAUGUACAAUAUAGGCACCCAGACCACUUCAUCUCAAUGAAGUGGACUGGAUGCUAUGUCUGCUCACCUCCCUGCUUUUUUUUAACCCUGCAAAUGAGAAAAUUGGCGUUCUGCAGGGUUUAAAUGCAUGUAGUUUCUGUCACACAGACACCCAGUAGAGGUGCUUCUGGUGACCAUCUGAUUGGCGCAUCAUUUUACAUGUGCACUAGUCUCUUGAUUGAAUUAACUCAUCAAUUUCAAUGAUCUCAGCCAAGGAAGCACAGAUUCCCCUCAGAGACCUGCGCUGCAAGGAAAAAAAAGUUACGUAAAAUAAAAUUUUUCCCCCUGCUGGUGGAGGCCUGAGAUCUAGACGGCCAACAGGGCACUAUAGAGUUAGAUAUACACAUUUGUAUUCCUAAUAAUAUAGUCUUACUUUAAUGAAAUUUCCUUUUCUCUAAUUUUAGAUGUUUGAAAUGUACUUUAUAGAGGUUCUUUCUCUUUGUAUUAUUGUACCUUAGUAAAUAAAAGUAACUAUAUAAUGAAUCAAGUCUUCUAAUGUUACUUAGAGUAUUUAUUAGACUUGUGCACACAUUCUUUUCGGCUGGUAUGAAUGAAUAUAAUUCCUCUUAAUCUAUGCCCAGAGAAAUUGAUCAAUCCUGAAUUAACCUGUGGAUUCCUAUUCAAUCAAAUUAAUUGAACAUUAUUCAGUUAAUAAAACUCCAAAGGUAAAUCCUGGAUGGAUCAAUCUGUUCUAGUGAAAAUUAAAAGGCAUUUGAUUCAAUCAUACCAGCUGAAAAGAAUUGUGCAGACGUCUAGUAUUUAUCUUUAAUACAUUUGUAAUCAUCAUAUAUAUAUUUUAAACAAUUUUAAAUUUUUAAGUAUUUUUAAGCUAUUUAUAAAACAUUUUGUGAAGGGUUACAAAAUACUAAAACCAUCCAGACAAAAGUCAGGGUUUAGUGAAAAACCCUGUCAGAUUUCUAAAUUGCUACAAUUCAAAAUGUAGUGAAUUAGUGAUCCAGAGGAAGGCAAAAAAACUUGGACAUAUCUUUAGGAACAUGUUCAAGGAAAAAAUUCCUUCCUGACCCCAUAUUAAGGCGAUCGGCUACAAAGCUGUCCCUGGAUCUGUAAUAAAUGUAUUUCAUAUGAAUACCAUCACCCUGCCUUAUUUUACAUUACCAUCCUAUUCAGAUCCUGUUUAGGUCCUUGUGCCAGUAAUACUUCUCAACAGACUUCUUGCUUGGAAACCAAACACAGCCAUUAAAAUAUUAGCAUUAUCCUGAAGGUUUCAGUUUGUUCUGAUAAAAGAUAUAAAAUCUGAUGAGUAUAUGGUCAUGAUGUAGUCUUUGCUUAACACUGACUGGCUAAAGAGGAUGCAGUCCCUUGUUAGUUAAACACCCUCAGCUUAUUAUGAUGUAAGAUGCAUAAUGACAUCACAGUUUAGUUGCAACCUUUAAAUGACGACCUUUUUUAUUUUAUCUGUUAAUGGAUGUCUAUUGAUACAGUUUGUACAUCAAAAAUAAGACCAUACUGGCAUUGCAUUAUUAUAAAAGCAGACAAUAAUCUAAAACAUCAAUAAAAUGUUAUUUUCAAAAUAAAAGCAGAAAAAAAAUAGUAGUAUAUUUGUUUUUUUUUUUAUUUUAUGAUUUUUUUAAUUUUACAGUAGCCAAUUUCGUUAAAAGGCAGUUAAAAGUAAGAUCUCUAAUUCUGCAAACAAUACAGAUCAUUUAAAGGACAGUGUGUGCUGUAUAAGCAGGAGAUACCCCUCUGUUGUUAUUAUUGUUAUUAUUGCCAUUUAUAUAGCUCCAACAGAUUCCGUAGCGCUUUACAAUAUUAUGAGAGGGAGGAUUUAAUUACAAGAAAACUUACAGGAACGAAAGGUUGACGAGAACCCUGCUCAGACGAGCUUACAGUCUAUAGGAAGUGGGGUAUAAAAUACAUUAGGACAGGAAAUAGCAAUCAAAUAAGGUGGGAGUGAAGCAGAGCUGGAGGAGAGAGUGCUGCCCUUUAAGAGAGAGCAAGAGACAGCUAUGUAAGGUAGAGGUUACUCUGGGAGGCCAUAAGCUUUCCUAAAGAGAUGGGUUUUAAGGCACUUCUUAAACGAUUGAAGACUAGGGGAAGUCUGAUGGGGGUAGGCAGGCUAUUCCAUUGGAAGGGAGCCGCCCACGAGAAAUCCUGCAAGCGUGAGUUGGCUGUACGGGUGCGAGCAGCAGACAGGAGAAGGUUACGGGCAUAGCGGAGGGUCCUAGAAGGGGCAUACCUAUGGAUCUGUGAAGUGAUAUAAGAGAGGCUAGAAUUGUUCAGUGCUUUACAUGUAUGGGUUAGCACUUUGAAUGGACUCCUAUAGGAUACAGGGAGCCAAUGUAAGGGCUGACAGAGAGGUGAGGUGUGAGAGGACCGACUAGAGAGGAAAGUCAGUCUGGCGGCGGUAUUCAUUACAGACUGUAACGGGGCAAUACGGCUAUUGGGAAGACCAAUCAGAAGAGGGUUACAAUAAUCCAUGCGGGAAAUUACUAGAGCAUGGCCAGAGUCAAGUAUGACGCCAAGACAGCGCGCUUGCAAGGAUGGACUUAUGUGGAUACCACUGACUUGAAGGGAGAGCGAGAGAGGAGGAUCAGUAUUAGGAGGAGGAAAGACAAGGAGCUCAGUUUAGUGAGAUUGAGUUUCAGAAAGCGGGAGAACAUCCAGUCAGAGAUGGAAGAAAGGCAUGCUUCAUGCUAGAGUUAAAUCUAAGCCAGGACCCAGGGCCGGAUUAACAUAGGGGCUGAUGGAGCUGCAGCUCCAGGCCCAUGGAAUAGGCCCAUUGAUUUAAAAAAAAAAAUAAUUUUUUUACAUUUUAUUUUCCACACACUACUCUUAGGGAUUCCACCUGGCUUUUAUUUUAUUGGCACAGCCAGUAUUUGAGGCUGCCUGGCUGGUGCCAAUAUUGCAGUGAUACUGGCAAUACAAAUGCCGGUAUUUUUCUCAGUAUAAACAAGAGAUUACUGUGCAAUACCAGCACUGGCCAGUAGGGGUUGCUGUAUGUGGAGACAGGCAGGGAUAGGAAGUUCCAGCAUAUCCCUCCCUGCCUAUCUAUACUCACUGAUCUGCAGAGAGAUCAGCUACAGAGAGUCCAGACAGCAACUCCCACCCUGCAGAGACAGCCUACAGCUCAGGGAAGUAAGGGAUGGGGGGAAAAGCUGCAAGGAGACAUACACUGAGACACUAAGGGACAUUGGGAGACAUUAUGACACAGACACAUGGGGACACAGUGUCCCCAUGUCUCCCAGCCAGUGUCCCUGGUGUCUCAGUGCCCCCUAGUCUCCCAGUGACCCCUAGUCUCCCAGUGUCUCACUGUCCCCAUGUCUCAGUGUCCACAUGUCUCCCAGUGCCCCCAUGUCUCAAUGUCCCCAUGUCCUCCAGCCAGUGUCUCUAGUGUCUGUGGCCCUGGUGUCUGUGUCCCCAUGUCUUCAAGUGUCCCCUAUUAUCCCAUUGUCCCCAUGUGUCCCAGCUAGAGUCCCCUUGUCUCCCAGUGUCACUGGUGUCUCCGUGUCCCUAGGUUUCCCCGUGUCCCCAGGUCUCUCUGUCCUCCUAGUGUCCUAGUGACAUGGGGACCCUGGGAUACAUGGGGACACAGGGAGACAUGGGGCAUUAAGACACUGUGAUGCACAGGAUCACUGGGAGACAUGGGGCACUGAGACACUGAUACACAGGAACACUGAGACCUGGAGUAAUCGACACAUGGGGGCACUGAGUCAUGAGGGCACUGGGAGACAUGGGAGCACUGGGAGGAAUCCAUCUAUACAGCAGAAUCAAACUAAGUAGUUUUUGGUGAUUUUACAGCAUUUUCUCUUAUGUCACUCCUUGUGAUUUACAUCAUGUGAUGUCACCCAUACAUAUUUAAUUAUGCAAAUUAGUAAGGCCGGUAUGUUUUUCCAAGAAAGGUGGCAACCCUAACUACUUUUCACAUACUCUUACUUAAGUAUGUAAACUUAAGCGGGAUGUAUGGGAACAAAACUUGUGUGGACUGGCUGACAAUGAAAAGGGACACUAUAGUCACCAGAACAACUACAGCUUUUUGAAUUUGUUCUGGUGAGUAGAAACAUUACCGUCAGGCUUUUUGAUGUAAACACUGUCUUUUCAGAGAAAAUGCAGUCUUUACAUUACAGCCUAGUGAUAACUUCACUGGCCACUCCUCAGAUAGCUGUUAGAGAUCCUUCCUGGGUCAUGGCUGCCUCAAAUUCAUCCAAACAUUCAGUGUCUCCUCCCUCUGCAUGCAGACACUGAACUUUCUUCAUAGAGAUUCAUUAAUUCAGCCAUGGGGGCUAGAUGGUGGUGUUAACACUACAGGGUCAUGAAUUCAUGUUUGUGUUCCUGACCCUAUAGUGAUCCUUUAAGGUAAUGCUGACUUUGGUCUCUCUAACACUGUGGCAUGUUCCCUUUCUUCUACACUUACUACAUACAGCUUUUCUCUCUCCCAGACUAUAUACCAGGAGCUUCUGCCUGGUAGUAAGAAGGUAAGGAGACAAGUGGACCAGCGAGUGCUAGGGGACAGUCCUUAGAAAACGUUGAGUGAGCGCAUCAUUAGAUGCAUUUAUGCCAAGCUCAGGGUGCUGUCUGCAUAGUAUGCCCUUAGUUGUCCAGCUGCAUGAUUGGCAGGCAGCCUGACAUGCAUUCAUGCCAAGCUGGCCUUCUAAUUCUUUGGACAGACAUGUCCUCUUUUUGGGCAUGUUCGCCCCUUUUGGCAGGUUACGUGAUUUGUGUCAGUGGCACACCCUUUUAGCAUGCCCAUUGACUUCCUGCUUGACUGGACACUGCUAUUAGGGGUUAUGGAUUUAUUUGAAAGAUGAAAACAUAAAUUAGAGAGAAAUUAGCCUAGGGUAUGUGUUUUCUUAUAGCUGCUGUUUUCUUUCUCCCCAGCACCAUCUCCAUCUCCAUCAGAUACAUGACGCUUGGGAGUGCUUUAGUGUUUUUGGUCGAUAUGAUUCUGUAAUUAGGCCUGUCAUAAUUGUCAGCACAAGGCCCACUGGGCUCUUAAUCUGGCCCUGCCAGGACCAUGCUCAACUAAUACUUUCAGCCAUGUCAGUGCAACUCUGCUUGGCACUGCUUGAAGCAGGGGUGCAGGCACAGUUUAAUUAUAAAACUUAACCGAUUGUAUAAUCUGCAGUGCUAAAACCUUAAAAAAAUAUACUAGCAGUCACUCACCCAAUAGGUAAUAAUCCCACAAACCAAUUAUAGUAUUGAUAAUCCAAUAAAAAAGGGGAAAAUGCUGAAGGGAAAGAGUAAAAAAGGGUUCAAUAGAUACAUAUAUCUAGAUAUUCAAAGCAAACCCUUUCUCAAGUUUUUGCACAGUAAUACAUUUACAUACAUUAAAAAAGGUUUUUUUUUGUUUGUUUUUUUAAAUAUACUUGAAAAAAAACUAUUAAAAAUCCUGUUCUUCCUUAGAGGCAGAGCAUCCCAGUACCUCAAACAUUAUAAAAGGGAGAAGACAGCAGUAUAUAAAAAUACUCAUAUGUUGUUUUACAUUAAAACAAACUAACAUUUAUAGGUUACAUAUCACACUCUUACACUUCAACAAUGAAGCAAUGAAGUCCUUUACAGCUGUAAGUACUGUCUUAGCCUGUCCAGGCCGAGACUCAUUUAGUGUUCAUUCAGCAACUAGGGCAGGUGUAGAUCUAUAAAGUACUUAAUACAUAUUUGUGUCAGGAUAGUUACCAAAUGUGUUUCACUCUUUGCACAUAGCCUCUUCAGUGGUAUAAAUGGCAAUUAAACAUUGGUGGGAUUUAAAUGUCCUCGUCAUGCAUAUUAAUGAGGGGGGAUGUCACAUUUCUAACUAUUCCGACAUAAUUAUCAACAACUAAACAUUAAAAAAUGAAUGAAAGAACCCCAAUUAUAAUUGAAGAAAAUUGUAUUUAUGCUAUUUAAAGUUUAUAUACAGAUUUGCUAUGCAUCUAUUAUGAUUUUAGAUCAUUUGUAACAUUUGUUUUACACAUUUUUGUAAUGUUUAGUUGUUUGUAAUUAUGAUGGGCUAGUUAGAAGUGUGAAGGACAUCCCUCCUCAUUAAUAAGCACAAUACAUUUAAAUGCCACCAAUGUGUAAUCGCCCUUUAUACCACUGAAGAAGCUCUGUGAAAAGAGUGAAAUGUGUUUGGUAACUAUCUGAGAAGAUGAUUGAGUUUUUAGGACUUUAUAUAUAUACACCUGCCCUAGCUGGAACACCGCCGAAUGAACACUAAGGGAGUCUCAACCUAGACAUGUCAAAUCCCAGCUAAGUGUGACUUAAGAGACAGAACUGACAGGUGUAAAGGAACUGUAGCCUGGAUGAAUUGCUACAUUGUAAUGAGUACUUUAAAAUACAGCUAUCUUCUAUUUUUUUUUUUUUUUUUUGAGGUACUGGGAUGUUCUGCCUCUUAAGGAAGGCAUUUUUAUACUGUUGUUAGGGACAAUUUUAUUCCCUUUUUAAACUUUAUAUAUGUAUUAUUGUUCAUAAAUUCAAAAAACAGGUUUCUGUUAAAGAUCUAGAUAUAUGUACCUAUUUUUAAUAAUAUUGAACCCCUUUUUUCCCUUCAGUGCACACCCCUUUAUUUUUAUACUUAUCAAACUGUUCUAAAACAGUUUAAAAACUACAGUGGGAGGGCAUCAGGACACUAGAAGAUUAAGUUAAACUAGAAAAAUGGUCAGAGUUGUGGCAACUGACAUUUAAUGUGGAUAAGUGCAAGAUAAUGCAUCUUAGACAUAAAAACCCAAGGGUAGAGUACAGAAUUUUUGAUAGAGUACUAACCUCAACAUCUGAGGAAAGGGAUUCAGGGGUAAUUAUUUCUGAUGACUUAAAGGUCUGCCUAGUUCGCCUUAUAGGAAGCGCCGGCCCUGCUUGGAGUUCUGGUACUGUCUGAGGCUGAUUGGAGUGAGCAUGCAGCAGAAGCUCACUCCAGUCUCUCCUGUACAUCCAUGCUGCUCUCUUCUGCUCUGCUGCCUCCUCCCUCCAGUCCUCCAGGGUGGACAGCUCUCUGUGAAGCAGGGAGGAACUGGCUGUCACUUCCCCUCUGCUGGCUGAUAUCACAGGGGCUCGGUCGGCUCUUAAAGGGCCAGGACCCGACCGGGCCCCUGAUUAGUGAGUAAUAUGUGGGUGUUAGGAGCCACAAAUCAUACACAAUAUAAUGGAAAUCACACACACACAUCAGAUUGUGUGUGAUUUCCAGGAUAUCGUGUAUGACUUGCAGGUGUCAGGGAGCCGCAUUCAACAUACGGGAGUCUCCCGGAACUACCGGGAGACUUGGGAUGUCUUGAUUCCUUUAAUUAAAAAAUCCUUUGAGGUGACAGUUGUCCUUAAAGCUGACAGGCUUCUCUAAAGAAGUAUGUUUUAAGUAAUUUUGAAGGCGUGCAAAGAUAAGAAAAUUUGAAUGUGGCAUGGGAAGGCAUUCCAUAAGGAGGGACAGCCCUGGAGACGUCCUGUAGACGAGAGUCAUGGAUAAGCAUUUUGGUUGCGUCCUAAGUGAGAAGGGUUAAAUGUCAAUGUUUUUAAAGUGAAAACAUCUGCUUCCACAUGUAUGGAUGCAAAACCCCUCUUACAAUGAUCAAUGAGCUUCAACAGACAUAAUUGUUUUCAAUUUGACAGUUUUUAUUUAGGUUUUUCAUUUGGGGUACAGAAAAAAGAGAGGGGGAUUGGGGGAAAAUUUCUUGUCUUUGCUUGCUUUGACUUUUUGGCAUUGUAACAUUUAUACAUUUAUACAUCGUCAUUUACGUCUAACAGGUAUUUCCAAUAAGUGUUUCUCUACAGUCUCUGUAAUAUUUCUCCUGAGGUGUUUUGCCAUCUUACGGUUACAAGCAUAUAUGGUUUUUACACCAGGUCAGAUUCCAUACCUCAUAUUUGUAUUCUGUAUAACUGUUAUUUUUACCCUGGGUGGCCUCCAGACAUAAUUUAUAUCACUAAGUUCUCCGUUUAAUUUAUUGCAUGAUCAACACUUUCAUUAAAACAAUUAUAAUUUUUAUAGUUUUAUAAGUGAUUUUUACAUCAGCUUGUAGUAAACAAUAUGACGGAGGAAAAUCCUUUACUUGCACAUUUGAUUCAUUUCAGGAAAUUGCAGCUGAUCAUUUAAAAAAGGUUGACUUUGGGAUAUAAAAUAUUUUUUAUACAAAUAACUAUGCAGAACAUAUUUAGUGUAGAAUUUCCUUUCAAUUCAUAAGCAUUUAUACAAUUAUUUUAAUCAUUUAUCCAAGAAAGUUCAAACCAUCUAAAUGUUCUAAUUGUAGGUCUGAAUGUGGGCAUUGUUAAAGGGGAUUUUUGGAUUCCUUGGUGUGGCUUAAUCAAAAGUAAAAAGUCAAAAUAUUUAGGCAUGUUUUGAGACAGUUGUUUUGUUAGUAGGAUGUGGUUGAUAUUUCAGUGGGCAGUCAGCAAUUUUAUUUUGCAGACAAGCCAUUUUGUGUCACUGCCCUAAAGUCUUGAUGACUAAGCCUUUAACCAUGUAAUGCCACAAAGUUAAUGAUAUAUCAGAUGGAUUUUUUAGUUUCAGCAAUGUAGGAAACAGGAAACAAAUAAAUUAUAGUGGUGACUAAGGCACUUUGAUUGCACUUACGGUAGUAUCAGGGCCAGAUUAAGAACCCAGUGGGCCUGGUGCUGAUAAUUAUGAUGGGCCAAAUCACAGAAUCGUAUCGACCAAAAACACUAAAACAAUUAUACCUCCCAAGCGUCAUGUAUCUGAUGGAGAUGGCGUUGGAAGGAAACUCAAAGGAUGCAGCUAUAAGAAAACAAAUACUCUAUGCUAAUCUCUCUCUAAUUUAAGCUAUCAUCUUUCAAGUAAAUCCAUAACCCUUAACAGCAGUGUCCAGUGAAGCAGGAAGUCAAUGGGUGGGGUAAAAAGGUGUGCCACUGACGCGAAUCACGUGACCAGAACUGCCAAAAGGGGCGAACAUGCCCAAAAAGGGGGCAUGUCUGUCCAAAGAAUUGGAAGGCCAGCCUAGCAUUAAUGCAUGUCAGGCUGCCUGCCAAUCAUGCAGGCUGUCCAACUAAGGGCAUACAAUGCAGGCAGCACCCUGAGCUAAGCAUAAAUGCAUCUAAUGAUGCGCUCGCUCCAUGCUUUCUAAGGACUGUCCCCUAGCACUCACAUGUUCACUCCUUUCCUAACCUUCUUACUAGCAGACAGAAGCUCCUGGUAUAUAGUCUGGGACAGAGAAAAGUUGUAUGUAGUGUAGAAGAAAGGGGACAUGCCACAAAAAUCUGGAUUACCUUAACUAAUUUUAUUGUCAGCCAGUCCACACAUGUUUUGUUCCCAUAUAUCCCUCUUAAGUUUCCAUAUUUAAUGGGACACUAUAGUCACCAGAUCAACGACAUCUUAUUGUAUUUGUUCUUGUGAGUAGAAUCAUUCCCUUCUUUUUUUUUUCAGUAAACACUGUCUUUUCAGAGAAAAUAACUCCACUGGCCACUCCUUAGAUGGCUGCUAAAAGUGCUUCCUAGGGCAGUACUGCCUAGAGUGCAGCACUGCCAUUCAGUGUCUCCACCCUCUGCAUGCAGACACUGAACUUACCUCAUAGAGAUGCACUGACUCAAAUGUAUCCCUAUGAGGAGAUGCUGAUUGGCCAGGGCUAUAGUAGACUUGUGCUGGCUCUGCCCCUAAUCUGCCUCUGUGACAGUCUCAGCCAAUCCUAUGGGGAAGCAUUCUAACUGGCUCAGACCACCACUUCUGAUGAUGUCAGCAGACAGAGUCAGUUCAGAGGUAGACAGUGGCAGAGCCAGCAGCUGCAGACCUGAGAACAAGUAAGAUUUUACUAUAUCUAGGGAGGCAAGAGGGGGCUAGAUGGUGGUUUUAACAUAAUAGGGUCAGAAAUACAUGAUUGUGUUCCUGGCCCUAUAGUGUUCCUUUAAGCAAGAGUAUGUGAAGAGUAGUUAGGGUUGCCACCUUUCUUAGAAAAAAAUACCGGCUUUAAUUAUUUGUAUAAUUAAUUAUGUAUGCGUGACAUCACAUUAUGUAAAUCACAUGGAGUGACAUAAGAGAAAAUUCUGUAAAAUCACCAACAAACUACUCACAGUUUGGAUUGCUCCCUGUGUCUCCCUUUCUCAGUCUCCCAAAUAACCCAGUGUCUCAGUGUCCCUAUGUAUUACCGUGUCAGUGUCCCCAUGUCGCCCAGUCCUCUAGUCUCCCAGUGUCUCAGUGUCCCCAUUUCUCCCAAUGUCCCCAUGUCUCAGUGUAUCCCCAUGUUACUAGUAUACUAGGGGAUACUGAGAGACAUGGGGACACGGAGAGACCUGGGGACACUGAGACAUUUAGGGACACUGGGAGACAUGGGGGCACUGAGACACAUGGGGGCACUUGUGGAUACAGACAUGGAGACACUGGGAGACAUGGGGACACAGACAUUUGGGGACACUGGGAGAAAUGGUGACACAGAGACACUAGGGACACAGAGACAUGGGGAUACAGACAAUGGGAGACAUGGGGACUGUGGCGGAACCAGCCUCACCACUGGGCAUUGGAGAAGACUGAUUGCCAGCCUCCUGCCCUGUGACUAUGACCCCAUGUUGAAAUGCUUGAUUUUCCCCUGCAAAGACCCGAAAGCCGGGUCAUUUGGUACUUUCCCUUUUUGAACAGUGAUACCCCAUAUAGCUAUGCCAUGGAGCCCAUUCAUAUAAUGAAAGACUAUGUGAAAGACUUUGGCUCCAUGGCAAUUGAACUGUAUGUAAGUGAUCUGAGCACCAUUCAGUAAUAAUGUGCACUCAGAUCUAAGCUAUCUGGGGAUAUGUUGAAUGUACCUGUUUUAUGCAAUAGCUGCACAGUUAUAUAUAUUUAGGCAUUGUAUUGUCUUUUGCUACCAUGUGGCUAAUGGAGUUUUGCUUCUGUCCUUGGAGAUAAUUGGAUUACUUCCCAAUUAUCUCCAGGAUAGAAGACUCUGUGGAACUGGUUUUGUGCAGAAAAGCCAUGCUUCAUUUGGUCACAAAGGACUUCGAUCUAACUCUUGACCCACUGGACCAAUUUGUAUGAUGUUGAUGUAUGUUUGUAUUUUGAGUAUGCUGAUUCUGAAAAUGUAAGUUGCAUGUGAAUGUGAUGCAUACUUUUAAAGUUAUGAAUAUUGUGUAAAACUGUGUAUUUUCCUGCCUGUGAUAAUUACAUUAACCCAUUGUGUAAGGUAAUUGUAUCAAAUGCAGAGGGGAGGAUUUUGUGUGGGAGUGUCUGAGUGUAUUGUACGUGUUUAUUGGUUGUUUUACAAAACCCUGUGGGUGGUACUAAUGUGUAAGAAUGUGUAUAUAUGUGAACAAUAAACCCACAGCUCUGGCAGUUCUACUUCACCCUCAAUUUGGAGUGCCGUCUCUUAUUGGGGGAAUCUGCUACAAGGGAUUGCUAUGCUUGUCAUACUCCCUUGCUAAAUCACUACUAAGCUCUUGUAAGAGCUUGUUCCUGCCUUGCUCUCUAGAGGAGUCUACGGUGGUUAUGGUGUCGGCUGGAGUGCUUGGAGCCCUCAGGAAGUGCUAGGAGCAUCCUUCAACGGAGGUACUCAGUUAGGGUUUCCAUCGAUCCGUUACGGGGACACAGACAUUUGGGGACACUAAGACACUAGGGACACUAAGAACCAUGGGAACACACACUGGGAGACAUGGGGACACUGGGAAACAUGGGGACACUGAGACACUAGGGACACUGACUGGGAGACAUGGGGACACUUGUGGACAUAGCCAAGGGGACACUGGGAGACAUGGGGACACUGGGAAACAUGGGGACACUGAGAAACUAGGGACACUGACUGGGAGACAUAGGGACACUGAGACACUUGGGGACACUGGGAGACAUGGGAGCACUUGUGGACAUAGCCAAGGGGACACAGGGAGACAUGGGGACACAGACAUUUGGGGACACUGGGAGACAUGGGGACACUAGGGACACUGAGAGACAUGGGGACCAAGACACUGGGAAACUGAGAAACUAGGGACACUGAGAGUCAUGGGCACACAGACACUGGAAAACUAGGGGACAGUGGGAGCCAUGGGGACACUGAGACACUAGGGACACUGGCUGGGAGACACUGGGAGACAUGGGGACACUGUGUCCCUAGUGUCUCUGUGUCCCAAUGUCUAAGUGUCUCCCAAUGUCACUAUGUCUCACAGCGUCCCCAUGUGUCUCAGCGUCCCCAUGUCUCACAGUGUCCCCUAGUGUCUCAUUGUCCCCAUGUGUCCCCAGGUCUCCCAGUGUCCCCUAGUGUCUCUGUGUCCCCAUGUGACCCCUAGUGUCUCAGUGUCCCCAUGUCUCCCUGCUGCCUUUCCACCCAUCUCUUACUUACCUGAGCUAUAGUCUGUCUAUGCAGGUUGGGAGCUGCUGUCUGGAUUCUCUGUGCUAUGUAGCUGCCUCCCUGUGGAUCAGUAAGUAGAGAGAAGCAGGGAUAUGCUAUAACUUUCUUUCCCUGCCUCUCUCCACAAACAGUGACCCCUACUGGGCGGUGCUGAUAUUGCAGAGUAAUCUCCAUGUAUACUGAGAAAAAUAUCUGCAUUUGUAUUGCCGGUAUUACUGCAAUACCGGCAUGGCCAGGCAGCCUCAAAUACUGGUCAGGAGUAGUGUUUUAAAAAGCAGUAUUUUUUUUAAAUGGGUCUAUUCCAUGGGCAUCGGCCUGGAGCUGCAGCUCCAUCAGCCCCUAUGUUAAUCCGGCCCUUCUUAGUAUAGUAGGUAUUUUAGAGACAUUAUAAUCUUCAGCCCUAUAAAACUACAUUUUCUUCUCCUGUUUCAGUAUCCCCUUAAAAACAAAAUAAAGAAACAUAAAUAAACAACUCUGCAUCUGACAAAUCUGAUGAGCCUGCCAUUUUUACAGGAGAGCGGGAUUAACCAUAAAGUGACAUUAGGCGGCUGCCUAGUGCAUAGGAGUUAGACAGUGGCCCCAGAACCAUGAAUUUGCUUCUUCCCAUUAACCAUCCCAAUGCGGGAAGCUAGUAAACUGCCCUGUGGGAUCUUAAUCUCAUCUUAAUCACAAUGCAUCUUGCUGCAUUUCCAAAAAGGAGAACUGUAACUAUUAAUUUGUCUGAAUUAUACAAGACCCAAUUUCUUCACUCAUAAUUUGUCUGUGUCUACAUAACACAAUCACAUCAUCUACACCUCUCUAUACUUUUCUAAAAUAAUAAUUUUAUGUAUGCAUGUAAUAAAUUGUGUGUAUUUAAAAGGGAGCUGUCACUUUCCAAGAUUUUUAAUAUAAUAUUUACUUAUCCCAAUAUUUAACAAAUGUGCAUUUGUGAUGUGUGAAAAAUAAAAUGAAAUGUAGGAAUCCACACCUCUUUAUUAGGCCAGGUGGAGAUGGACAGGAAGGGCGAUAGUUUACAGUCAUGUGAAAAAGAAAGUACACCCUCUCUGAAUUCUCUAGUUUUACAUAUCAGGACAUAAUAACAAUCAUAUGUUCUUUAGCAGGUCUUGAUGAACAACAACAUAUGAUAUAUUACACUGUGCCAUGAUUUAAAAAAUAUAGAAGCCCAAAAGAGGAGUCACUAGGAUGGGUUGCUUGUGCCAGUAACCGAAUGCUGUUUUUUUUCUUGCCAGAUAUUCUUUCUGCUAUAGUGAGAUUCAGGAUUGGCAGUCAGGUAUAGACUGGCAUACAAACUAGUUUCCAUAGCCAUAUUCUCAAAGAUGCCCGCUGUAAUUAAAAGCUCAAAAUAAUUUACUGGCAUACAAACGUCAGUGCUGUUUGUGAAGCCAGGAGUUGCCAAAAAUGUGAGUAUUUUUGGAGCACCAGUUUGUGGGCACCCAGUUUGUCUUAGAUACAUUGGAUACAUUCUGAGUGUCAACUUGUAGAUGGUGUUAUGGUGGGAGCACCAUCACCAGAAGCCUCACUUGGGGGCUCUAUAGUCUAUAUAUGAGGCAGUAUGAGCUUCACUGUCAGAUAUAUUAAAGCUGUAUCUCCUCUGACUGAGAAAAAAAAAUCCUUACCUGCCUAACACAAACUACCUCAACGCACCAGCAAAUCCCACUUCCAACUAAAAAAAACCCUAUAACCAAACGCAAAAAAUUGCAAGAGCCGCGCGCACAUUCAGCCAGUCCAUAGGAAAGCAUUCUCAAUCACAGCGAGAAGCGCGGAAGCACCUCUAGCAGCUGUCAAUGAGACAGCCACUAGAGGCUGGAUUAACCCUAAAGUAAACAUAGCAGUUUCUCUGAAACUACUAUGUUUACAGCAGGCAGGAUUAAUCUUAGAUGGACCUGGCACCCAGACCACUUCAUUGAGCUGAAGUGGUCUGGGUGCCUAUAGUGGUCCUUUAAAUGAACAAAAAAAAAAAUCCAAAAAUCUGACCCUCUUAAAUAUCAGAAAAUAUCUGGAACGUACUGCUGCACUCAUCACUCUGAUGUCAGAAUUAAUCUGUGAUCACCAGUGAAAGGAUUAAAACCAGAGUUGUUUUUUUUUUCUUUCCCCAAAUAACUGUUUAGACCUGCAGACACUGUAUUCAAUGAUCCUUCUGCCUCCAGUCUUGUCUAAGAUCAAAAUGAUGGAGCCAGAAGGAGAGGCAGGCUACACUGUCACAGUCAAUGUUUGGAUUAAUUGGCUGUGACAUUGUAUAAACAAAGUGAACUCCUAAACUACUUCAUUAAAAUACAUUUUUAAUUUUUUUAAAUUAUUUAUUUUGAAGGUGGUAUCAUAGCAAUACAAUACGAAAAGCCUCUCCAACAUAACAUAAUAUUAGAAAUUUGGCAUUUAUAACGGACCAAUAAUAAUGAGUGAUCAAGUUAGGGAAUAUACCUCUCUCCCAUCAGGGCACUCACACCUGUACUCCUCCUCUCAGUAGUAAGCGAUAAGCCACCCCAUAUAAAUCAGGAAUCUUUCCCGGUUGGGAGCGGAAUCAAUGAGGCGUGUAGCAUUAAUACUUGAAUUUGCCUCUGCUAAUGUUCGAUUACAGGUGUUCUGUGUUACCCUCCUGUUCCCAGCGGCAUGUGGGCUAAGCUUGUGUCUGGUGCUCUAGCUCGUCAGGGUUCCCCCCCUAGCACAGCCACCCCCCUCGAGGGCUUGUCUUUGGAUUAUUGUUAGGCUGGCAAUAUUGUUGCCCGGGGCUAGCCAUAUGUCAGGUAUGUGAGUCCCUCAUGAAUGCAAUCUAGUGGAUGGGCAAGUAAUUGAACAAAAUUAAACCAUAACACAAAAGAGGUGGAACUGAAAACUAUACCCAAGUACAACCUGGCUGCCUAUGGCAAGUCCAACUUUCACUGUAUAUUGUACAGGAACCCCAAGUUAUGUAACAUGGGCUGCAUGGUGAGACAGUCUACGGAGGUUCUCGGGUUCUGCCCUGGACUGAUCCUCUCAGUCUGGGAGCCGGGUCAAUCAGGUCCGCAGCUAUGUCCCAUGGUUGAAGCGGCAUGGGAGGCAAUUUCAGUGCACUGAAAAGCUUUGUUGGAUCUUCCCCUGUUGACAGGGCUAGCAUGGAGUUGCUGUGGGGCACCACCAGAGUUCCAGACGCUCCCUAUUGAUACCUGAUGUUGUGAUCUCUCAGAAUCCUAGUAAUCGACUGGAAUCUUCUCUGCUCCACCAACACUGCAAAUGGUAGGUCAUCAAAGAUUUUAAUCUGGUUGUUCUCCACAGCAACACUAGGGUGGCUUCUGGAGCAUGUCAGGAGGGAUGUCUUGAUCGCUAUGUCCCAUGUGACCACUAUGGUGUCUCGAGGUGCGUCAGCAGGAGCAGUGGGGGCCUUCCAGACCCUGAAUGCCAACACUAUGGGCGACACUCCACUCUCUCCCCACACUCCCAGUGCCGCGGCCACUUUAUUAGCAUAGUCCAUCAGGGCCUCUUGGUUCACAGAUUCUAGAACCCCACGGAGCUUUAUGUUCCUCCUGCGGUGUCCUGCCUCCAGCGUUGCAACUGAUUUGUUAAGUCUCUGUAUUUGCAGGGACAUGGUGUCUAUUUGGCUUCGGGUCUCGGUUCACCCUUUCGGGAUCCCACAAGGUCCGCCUUUUUGAUGUCCCCUUCAGUAGAUGGGGAUGUGUCAGCAUCAGAGUCUGUUCUCCGGUGUAACCCUGCUGGGUGCCUGUGAGCUCACUGAUCCUUCUUCCCCCUCGCACUCAUCCGAAGUGCUGGAGCCUCGUGCUCUGCCGGGGGCCAUCUUGGGCUGUGCCUGAGGUUGCGGACUAUCAAAGGACCUGCGGAUAUCGGACUGGUAUGAUCCCUCGGUGUGGGCUAACUUUCUGUGUUUGCGCCCAAGCUCUCUGUUGCAGAAAGUCUCAGUUUAUGCACAGUUUUCGUGGCUUUAUGGCUAUUUAGUAGUCUGUGUAGGCUGCUAUUUCAUUGCUCUGCUGGCCACGCCCCCCCUUGACAUUUUUGAUAGACAGAUGUUCGAAAGAUUUUGACCAUGUAAAAAUUUAGAUAGUCCACAGUGCCUAAGUUAAAGGAUGAAAACUCUUCCUCAGUCUAGAGCAGGGGUAGGCAACCUUUUAGCAGCACUGUGCCGAUAUAGGAUUGUGAUGUCCUGUAGCAUUCCGGUCCUAUUUUUUUAAAAUUGAGGAGUGUAUGCUGCCGUAUUCUGUUUGUGUUAUUUUUACUGCAGUUGCUUCGUAUCAUCGUAUUUGUGUGUAUAUAAGCUAUUAUAUUGUAUAUGUUCAUUAGUUUAUGGUAUCGUGUAUGAUAUAUAUGAAUGUGGGCUGCGUAUGGGGGCUGCUUGUGGAAUUGUGUGUGGAUGGAUAUGUCACAUUGUGUGUUUGGUAGUGUGUGGGGACUGUUUGGGGUAUUGCAUGUGGUGUUGUGUGCAUGUAUGUGAAUUGUUAGCGGGUUACGUUUGUGCAGAUUGUGUGUAUGUUUGUGUGUGGGCUGUUUGUAUUAUUUGUAUGAGGUGAGGGUUAUUCUGCAUUUCUGUGUAUAUCUAGCAGUGUGGGUGGCUUUCCUGGCUUCCAGUCAAGGACAGGAGCUGCAACAGCAGCUGCGGGCUGCUCUACUACAGUGUGGAUUUCCAUUCACAAGUGCUGGGAGGAAGUGAUCUGAGAUCACUUCCUCUACGUGCUGCAUGCUUAAAUUGAGGAUUGUCCUUCACCACCUCUUUGUAUUUGCAGAUAUCUGAAGUUUGGUAUCUGUUUGGCUCGAGCAGCCUUGAGUGCCGUGCAAAGACGCCAUGAGUGCCGUGCAUGGCACUAGUGCCGUAGGUUGCCUACCCCUGGUCUAGAGAGUUCAGUUUAACUAGUAUUUGUCAUUAAUUUCUCAUAUAUACAGUGAGGGAAAAAAGUAUUUGAUGCCCUGCUGAUUUUGAUAGUUUGUCCACUGACAAAAAAAAGUUCAGUCUAUAAUUUUAAUGGUAGGUGUAUUUUAACAGUGAGAGACUGAAUAACAGCAAAAAAAAUAAAUCCAGAAAAACAUGUCAAAAAGUUAUAAAUUGAUUUGCAUGUCACGGAGUGAAAUAAGUAUUUAAUCACCUAUCAAUCAAUCAGCAGCAGAAAAAGUAAAUGAAAAUUGCAGUCAGGCAGCAGGCAGAAGUAAAUGAUCAAUCUAGAUCUAGGUCAGGAAGCAGGCAGGAGCAAUCCUCCAGGGAAUCAUGGAUCAGGAACAUAAGCUGAAAAGUAGGGCAAUAGGCAGGUAUAAAGCCAUAAGCAAAAUAACCAAGCACUGACUGGAAGGUGUGCUUGGUUUAAAUAGGUGGCUGGGAUCACAUGACUGGCCACCUCCCACCAGUAGGUCAGGGACUCGGCGCCAUUUUGUUUUACACCAUAGUCCCUGACCUGUUCCUCCCCUAUGGAUCUGCAGCUCUCCUCCUCCCUGUGCAGAACGCCGGGUCCGCAUGGCGCUUGGCGAUGGAAGAAGCCGCGUGGACCCAGGAGGGGGGUCUCCAGGAGCGGCGAGUACUGCAAUUCUGCCACGAGGGCGGCGCAGGUGAGGGGCAGGUGAGUACCCGGCUGUGGCGUGACAGGUGGAAAGUCUAAUAACUUCCCUUGAGAAUGGAUGUGGUAUAGAUGCGUCAACUUCCUAUAUUGCCAAGGUCUAGCAUGAAAGGUAGGGAUACAAUACGGGAGGGCCAUGAUGGGGGUAGCCAAGGAGAGGUGACUCGAGGAGCUCAGUAAGGACCUUGGGUAUCCCAAACAUGGAUGCUGAAGGUUAUCUGAGUUGGCGCUGUAGUAAGGGGCGGUCAGAGCAGUCUAGGCAGCAACAAUAUGCUGGGGAGAUCAAAGGGUUGUAUCAAAUUGCGUUCCAUUGUCACACUUUGGGGCUGAGGGCCUUUGAAAAAAUAGGUUAAAACUGAGGGUACAAUAGUGGCGUGAAAGUAUGUUUUCACAUCUGGGAGCGACAGACCACCUGCCUUCGUUGGUGCUUGAAGCACCUUCAUGGCCACUCUAGGUCUGGAGUCUGCCCAAAUGAAUCUAGUCAUUGAACAUUCUUGAAGUAAGUCUGAGGGGCUGAUAUAGGGAGUGGGCAAAAGAUAUAUUGUAGCUUGGGUAAGUUAGACAUCUUGAGUGCCACUAUCCUUUACAUCCUUGUCAGGUACAGUGGCCCCCAAUGGAGAAUUUGUUUGCAUUCAUUCUAUACUCUUAUGUAGUUCCCCGUAUACAAUUCUGCUGUGUUUUUGGUGAACAAUAACCCUAAGUAUUUAAUAUUAUCUUUCGUCCACUCAAUGGAGUAUUGAUCCCGAAGCGUAACUCUAUCAGCUAGUGGUAACUCUAUGCUCAAUGCCUGGGUCUUGGACGUAUUAAGGGAGUAAUAUGAAUGCAGGCCAUAUUCCUUAGUGAGGUCCAUGAGUGGGAGUUAAGAAGUUUUGGGCUGGGAAAUAUCAUCUGCGAAUGCACUAAUCUUGACUUCUCGUCCACAGACCUAUAUCCAAUGAAUGUCAGAGUGGUCCCUGAUAGUGUUUAAAAGGGGUUCUAGAGGUAGUACAUACAAUAAGGGGGAGACUGGGCACCCCUGCCUAGUCCCAUUGGUGAUCCUAAAGGGGUUGGAUAGAAAUCUCGCCUGCAUUAAAUGGGCUGUCGGAGCUGAGUUUAGGGCAAAUAUUUGUCUUAUGACCUGUGGGGGAAAUCCAUAUUUACUUAAUGCAUGCCUCAGGAAGGGCCAGCCGAGGCGGUCAAAUGCUUUCUCAGCAUCUAGAGCUAAGAGCAGUCCACCCCUGCUGGUCCUUCAAAGCCGCUCAAGUACCAGGGAUAAUUUGCGGGUAUUAUCUAAUCCCUGCCUCCCCUGGACAAACCCUGUUUGGUUGUCAGAUAUUAAGGCCAGUAAAAUGGGGCUCAAUCUGUUAGCCAGUAUUUUUGCGUAUAUUUUCACGUCUGUAUUUAUGAGGGAGAUAAGGCGGAAGUUUUUUCAUACAUCAUUAGGUUUAUCAGGCUUGGGGAUAGUAAUGAUUGUAGCGAGCAAAAUCUCUGGUGGGAGUGAGCUGGAGUCAGUAGCCUCGAGGUAGACCUUUAGGAGAUGAGGUGCUAGAACCUCUGCAUAUGUCUUAUAAUAAGUGUUCAUGAGGCCAUCCACUCCCGGGAUUUGCCUGGGGGUAGACCCUUAAUGGCAGACAAGACCUCAGUAUGGGUUAUAGGUUGUAAGAGCUCCUUAGUCAUCAAUAAUAUGGGCUAUUUUAGUUGCAGAGUAUUUACUGUGGAGUCUAGAGGUCAGGUAUUUGGUCGCCUUACCACUAUUGUGAUAAGUGUUAGCUUGCAAUUUAUGGAGAAGGUAAUUGGUCUUCUCUGUGUUAUGCUCCACUAGUUGACCGUAUAGCUUGGUCAGCAUAGCCGCCAAUUCCUUCAAUGGUUGUGUCUUAUUUAGAGAGGCUGUUAGGGCAAUUUGCUUAUGGCAGUCUAUUAAACUGGCAGUUUGGCGUUUUUUAAGAAAGGAAGAUCGCGUAUAAACAAGCCUCUAAUGACAGCCUUGUGCGCAGACCAUACUGCUAGAUCAGACAUGUCCUUAUCGGUAUGGGCUUUGAAAUAUUCUUGCAUUGCCCUGCAAAGAGUGGAAGUAAAAUCGAGGUCUGAAAAUAAGGAGUCGUUAAGACGCCAUGUCCCUUUACCUUUAACCUGGAAUUUAUCAAAUAGUUCUAGGGUGACAGGGCCAUGAUCCAACGAUGUAAUCUCUCCUAUGUCACAUCUAGAGAGCUGGGCUAACAAUGCUCUGUCUAAAAGGAAUGCGUCAAUCCAGGUAUAAGUAUUAUGUACCCGCCAAUAGAAUGUGUAAUCUCGCUCUACAGGAUGGAGAGUUCUCCAAGCAUCAUAUAGAUCAUGUAGAUAUAUAGGUUUGGUAACACACCCUCUCUCUGGCUCUAUGACUGCGACCAGUAGUGGGGGCAGUUGUGUCCAAGGGAGUCUGGGUGAAAUUAAAAUCUCCGCAAAGGAGUAAACUGCCCUUUUUACACUUGUCAAUUUUGCUAAGCAGCGAGUGGGAUUAGGAAAAUAUGUCGAAGCGAGCGUAUACUGAUUGUCGUUAAACAUGCCAAGUAGAAUGAUAAACCUUUCUUUUGGAUCAAUAAAAUGUUUUUGAAGCGUAAAGGCUACAUCUCUGUGUAUGAAAAUGGAGACUCCUUUGGUCUUACUAUCUGACAUCGCAUGGUAUUGGGUGGGAAAAUGCUUGGUGAACAGAGCAGGGGUAUGUCCUUUUUUAAAGUGAGUUUCUUGGAUACAUGCAAUGUCAAUUUUAUUUUUUGUAAGAUCUCUGCGUAAAAGUCUCCUUUUACCAGGGGUAUUUGGACCUUUUACAUUGAGUUAGGUGGCUGGGAUAGGAAGGAAGUCACAAUAUAUCUCCUAGGAUUUGGAAGAGUGGUGUCUGUGGUAGUCCCGAAAAGGCAUUGUAUCCGGGCACCUGAAAGCUUAGGGGCCUUGGUGAGGCCUUGGUUCGAUAAUUAGUCUGCUAGAAAGGGUGAAUAAGGAGGAAAGGGUAGAAGCAGGGCUAACGGGCACAAGGGGAGUCAAAACUUGAGGGUAACAUACCUAACUAGACUACCUAUUGUGAGCCAUGGUGCGCCAAGAAGGUCUUGGUCACAAGUUGCGGGGGGCAUGGUGGUGAGCAUCAGCACAGAAUAGAGCAGCUCACUUACGGUAGUGAGGAGCCAACUUUGAAAGCAAAUAUCAGUGAAACCUGUGCUCAGCUAUGGAACAGCUUUGUUUGUUUUUUAAAUCUGCCCGUGACCACCUCCUGUCCGUUGUCCGCACCCGUACGGCCAACUCGCGCUUGCAGGACUUCUCGCGGGCGGCUCCCUUCCUAUGGAAUAGCCUGCCUACCGCCAUCCGACUCUCCCCUAGUCUUGCAUCUUUUAAGAAGUGCCUUAAAACCCAUCUCUUUAGGAAAGCUUAUGGCCUCCAAGACUAACCCCUACCUCACAUACCCGUCUCUUGCCCUCUCCUAAAGGGCAGCCCACCUUAUUUGAUUGCACAUUCCUGUCCUAAUGUGUUUUACACCCCACCUCCUAUAGAAUGUAAGCUCGAUUGAGCAGGGUCCUCUUCAACCUAUUGUUCCUGUAAGUUUAUUUGUAAUUGUCCUAUUUAUAGUUAAAUCCCCUUUCAUAAUAUUGUAAAGUGCUACGGAAUCUGUUGGCGCUAUAUAAAUGGCAAUAAUAAUAAUAAUAAUAAUAAAAUCAUUUUUUUUUUUUUUUGUAUUUUACAUAAAUAGGAACACAGAAACAAUAGUGGUUAGCUGCUUAAAAUAAUCAGCUUCACAGAAGGACAGAGCGAGAGCCUUAGCCCGAUAUCCCCAGUGCCCUAGGCAACGAGUGAUCGCUGCCAAGGUGUGGGGUUGAGGUUAAGCCUCCUGGUGGGCAUAGGGAGCUUGGUGCCAAGACAAUAAGAUAAACAGUGAAACUUAUGAGCAAUAAACAUUCAGUAUGCGUAAUAUACCCAUGAUAUGAUUAGGGCAAUAUGCGCCCAACAUAUAAGAUAAGGGAGUUUACAUCCCAUAUAGGGCUACCAGAUACUUGCCAUGCAACCAUCAUGGCCGUGCAGCUCUCAGCUGAGUGUCCAUUCCGGUGGCAUCCAAAGGGACUUUUGUGUCUCUUUCCUCUGCAACAGCAGGUGGUGGAAGGCCCCAGUCCUUGAAUUUUGCUAUACCAGCUUCAAGAGAGGUCACUCCAUGGAUGGCAUUGUUAUAGUGGAGUACCAACUUUGCUGGGAAUCCCCAUCUAUAGGCAAUGCCUUGAGCUGGUAGUGUGGUUGUAAGAGGUGACAUACUCUUUCGGAAUUGGAGGGUCGUGGCCCAGAGAUCUGUGAAGAUCUUGAGGGCUUGAUAUGGCUCCGGCAUCCCUGCAGGUCUGCAGGCCUGCACCAGCCUCUCUUUUGCGUGGAAGAAGUGCACCCAAACGAUGACAUCUCGGGCAGUAGAGCUAGGUAGGUGUUUAGGCCAUCGGAGCCUGUGGGCUCUAUUGAUGAGUAGUUGGUCUGGGUGAAUCUCUGGUGCUAGGGCUUGGAAGAAAUCCAAUAAGUAGUUGUUGGGGGCUGGAGCCAGGACCAUCUCAGGAAUGCCCCGUAUGCGCAGGUUAUUCCUCCGAGCCCGAUCUUCUAUGUCAGCGAUUUUUAGCUGGUGAUCUCUAAGGAUUGCAUCAAUCUACUGUAGUUGGUCUGCGAGGCUGUUGUAAGCCUCAGUGAACUCAUCCAUUUUCUUUUCCACGUGAGAUGUGCGUUGGCCCAUAUCGUGGAGUUCUUUACGCAGAGCCGUAGUUAAUAUGUGUAUUUGAGUUUUCAGGUUUGUCUAUAUGUUCUCGGAGAAUUCUGCCUUCAUCUGGCGCAUAGUUGCUGUAGUUAGUGGUCUCUAGUCCGGCAAGGAUCCUGGGAAGGCAGGGGGCGAAAGUGAUGCUUCUCUGGAACAGAGCUUGCCGCCAUCUUUGGAUGGGCUUCAGCCUUCCCGCGCUUUCAGUGCGGAGGUCUUUGCCAAGAAAAAGGAUGCUCUGUCCGAUUUGGAAGUUUACUUUUUUUUGUCUCUGUGACAUGGUGAAGUUGACUCGUACUUGAGGGGUAAUUAUUGCUUUACAGAGCGAUUAUUUUGAGCUCCGUCACACCCCAAACUCAGGAGCCUCACAGCCGUGCGGUCAUUCAGUUCAGGUGCCAGGCCACGCCCCCCAGUUUCUUAGUUUUAAUGAAUUUGCAAAGAUUUCAAAAAUCAGUUUUUUGCUUUGCUAUAGGUGUAAAUUGAUGUGGAAAAAUUAUUUCAUCUUUUUUAUAGCACCAACAUAUUCUGCAGCACCUUACAAUUGUAAAAAGGGGAUACGUGUUCCUAGCUUGCAGCGUUGCAAUCUAUAAUGAAUGCGGCGGCAAGGUUUAUCUUCCUGUUCGCCCGCACCUCUCACCUCUGUCAGUCCCUACAUUUGCUUUCUGUAAGAUAUAGGUCUCAAUUUAAGAUUCUGGUGCUUGCAUAUAAGUCUACAUAAUGCUGCUCCAGCCUACCUAUCCCCCUUAAUACACAAGUAUGUCCUGUAUAGGCCUCAGCACUCUGCCAAAGACCUACGUCUAUCCUCUGCCCGUACUCCCACCUCUGAUGCUACCUUUAAGACUUCUCCAGGGUUGCACCUUUUUUGUGGUACUCCCUUAUCCGUUAGACGCUCACCCAGACUCCAUUCCUUAAAAAAAUCAUUAAAAACUCACUUCUUUAAAAAAGCGUGUCAAUUAAAUUAACAGCUUUCCCUCCCAGCACCCUAAUUCCUCAACUGCAACUGUCAAAAAUAAUCUAUUAAGCGAAUACUUUUCUGGCAACCUACUUUCCUACACCUUCCUUUCCCCAUUGUGUCACUACACCCUACUCCCUCUAGCACAGGCUUUCCCAAACUCCGACCCUCCAGAUUUUGCUUAACUACAACUCCCAUGAUUCUAUGAAUGAAAUAGAUAGGCUGAGAAUCAUGGGAGUUGUAGUUCGGCAACAUCUGGAGGGCCGGAGUUUGGGGAAGCCUGCUCUAGCAUGUAAGAUCACUGAGCAGGGCCCUCAACCCCUCUGUUCCUGUGCAUCCAACUUGUCUAGUUACAAUAACGUGUCUGUUAGUCCACCCCUUGUACAGCGCUAUAAAAUUUGCUAGCGCUACAUAAAUAAUGAAAUAAUAAAUAAUAAUAAUAAUUCUUAGAGGUGAAGAAGAACCUUUUCAAACAAGCGUAUAUUCUAUGAGGAUUUGAGGUAGGUGGACAUAUCUUUAAGUGUCUUGCCCAAAGAUACUUACUGGUAAGGUGAUCUGACCAAAAUGCAAACCUUGGUUUUCCCAGUUCUAAGUUAAGGCAGUGAUUUUAUCCCUCUAACCAGCAAAUAUAUAUACUAUAUACUUAUGGUAAUCAGUUAAAAAUUACAUGUUGCCAGUUUAAGUCGACUAGUGCUGGAAAAACAACUUGCCCACUGAGGGCUCAUUUACAGUUUGUUUUACAGAAGUUUCACAAAAAUGUCAUAUAUUUCUCACACUGAUUCUUAUUUUUAUUUAGCAAAUGUUAUUUUUGUUAGAUUUUUAUGUUUUUCCAUUAGACAAACAUGUUGUCCAAUUGUACUGUACUGUAAGUGUGAAACCAAGUUCUUGUCUCAUUCCAAUGUACACAAUGUGAAAUAUUUAGAACAAAGAGUUCCAAAAAGAAAUCAUUAUAUUCUCAUCUAUCUCCUUUUGAUAAAUAUGUAAGAUAGACAUUCUACUUAAAGUUAUUUAUUACAUAGUUGCCAACUGUCCCGUUUUUGCCAGGACAGUCCCCGCAAGCUGAAGUCUUUCCCGGGCAAUUUACUCUCCUGGGACAGGCCCAACUAUAUAGAGCAAUCUGAUGUUGAGUAUUAAGUUAGAGAAUAUUCUGUGAAUGUUUUGAGGUACUUAAGAUUUAUGGAAAAUAAUAAACGACUCUCAAUGGACUCUGACGUGCUGGAAAACUGGCUUAAAUCCAGCUUCCCUUCUCUGUAUCUUAUCAUUAAUGCCAGAGACGCGUGCAUCUUACUGUUUGAAGUUAGUACUUAUUUUAAUCUCUAGUUCUGCCAUUGCUAUCCAUUUUACCUUUUGGAAGAAAGAGUGAGAACAAUAGUUUUCACCUGCUCAGAAUCAACAAUCUUAAGCAAUAGCUCCCCAUAUGUUCUGUACAGAUAGCAUAUCUUAUAGUGGAAGAGAACACAAAGAUUAUCAUUCUGACCAGUUCUUAGUUGCAACGAAAAAGUGUGUGAGCAUUUGCCAUUUUAUGUGAGGUGGUCACUGCACCUGUGGAGCUAAGAGAUAAGAAGGUACUGAAAAAAAAAACAUAAAAGGUGGGGAGUUUUUUAAAAACAUUUUUCACAAAGAAAUUCUUUUUCUGGAAAUAUUAAAAAAUUAUAAGUCAUGGAAUAUGUUCUUUUAUAAUGAUAAAAAUUAUCUUUAUGACAUGGUGUUUAUAUUUAAACCUUCACUAUAAUUUCUAAAAACUAUAUAAUAUGUAGCUUUUAUGAAAGACUUAUGAGGCUUUAUGUAAAAAUUGCAAUUCUUGUACCCGGAAGUCAAGCAAAUCUUGGAAUACAAUGCAAAUACUAACUAGGUUAUUUACUAAAAUGAGAGUUGAAAGGGAAUUUUAAAUUCAGGUUAAAAUUGCCAAACUGGAAAUAGUCUCUAAUGUGUCUAGGGACACUGCAGGGGAAGAGGAGUUGGUUGAUUUUGCUUGUGAGCUCCACCUUGUUGGUAUAGCUGAUUGAGUUGUUUCUGUGAUCUCAGGCCAUAAUUGAAAGGUAAGAAUUUAAUGGGAUCGAACUGCUGGAGCUUAAUGUAGUAGUUCCGGGGCAUAGUGCUUGUCCCUGUAGGCUGAGCAGUGUAAAUUCUCCCUUUCCUGAGAAAUGUAUAAAUGACCUUGAAAUUGUAGCAUCCUUAGUGUUCAUACUGUACUACCCUAUGUGUUGUAUUCUCUUUUUUGUAGAGAUAUUUUAGUUUUGUUUUGAGUGUACUGAGUAUUUAGAGGAAUCCUUUACGAUAUCUACAUUUUUAUGUGAGAGGGUAAUUACCAUUUCAUUUUGUACUAUCUGCACUGCACUUUGAGGUGAUUAUAGUGUUUUUAUCUCUUGAGUUUGUUGGACUGAGCAACUGAACACCCCUUCAAGAGCAUCCAGUCUGUAACAUGAGAGACCGCCCUUAAGUGUGGGUAAAAAACGUGACCUAUUAGCUUAAACCUACUCCAUGUACAGAGGUUGCAGGUAUAAUCACACAGCAAGACUCAGCCAGGCAGGGUGAAUUAAAAAAAACACUACGAUGAAAGGCAUUUGAAAAAAAGGGGGGAAUAAUUGGCAUUGCAAAGAUGUCUGAUAUUGCAUUGCCAUUAAGUUAGGCAAUAUUUUCUAGAUAUUUUUGCAUGGCUCACAGUCAGAGUCCUCUUUUUUCCUGCUGUUGUGGCUUUCCCGAAUUUAGUUUUUUCGUUACUGAAAUCUGGCCUUAAUGAACAACAACGUGGACUGAAUUCUGUAGACCUGAAGAUUUUUAAAAAUCAUUAACUGCUUCAGAAGCACCUGAACAUUUUUACACUGAACAAAUCUAGCUAUUAAAGGGACACUAAAGUCACCAGAACAACUACAGCUUUAUUGUAUUUGUUCUGGUGAGUAGAAGCAUUCCCUUCCGGCUUUUUGCAGUAAACACUGUGUUUUAGAGAAAAUGCAGCGUUUACAUUACAACCCAGUGACGACUACUAAAGGGGCUUCCUGGGGCAGUGCUGCACAGUAUGCAGAACAACAUUCAGUGUAUCCACCCACUGCACAAAGACACAGAACUUUCCUCAUAGAGAUGCAGUGAUCCAAUUUAUCUCCAUGAGGAGAUGCUGAUUGGCCAGGGCUGUUUUUGGCUCGUGCUGGCUCUGCCCCUAAUCUGCCUCUUUGACAGUCUCAGCCAAUCUGAUUGGGAAAACAUUGUGAUUGGCUUUUGUUCAACACUUCUGAUGAUGUCAGCCUAUCAGGCAGAUCAGGGGCAGAGACAGAAGCUGCAGACUUGAAUACAAGUAAUAUUUUACUAUAUUUAGGAAAGCAAGGGGGGCAGCAGGGCUAGAUGGUGGUUUUAGAGCAGGCUUCCCCAAACUCCGGCCCUCCAGAUGUUGCUGAACUACAACUCCCAUGGUUCUAUGAAUAAAAUAGAUAGGCUGAGAAUCAUGGGAGUUGUAGUUCAGCAACAUCUGGAGGGCCAGAGUUUGGGGAAGCCUCUUUUAGAGGGUCAGGUAUACAUGUUUGUGUUCCUGACCCUUUAGUGUUCCUUUAAGAGUUUUAUGUAGGAUAUGAACACACCUGUCUCACAAAUCUAGGUUAGGUAAAUAUUGCAUCAAAUAGACCAGGUCACAUUGUUAUGUAAAGAUCUAAGUUUUACACAAUCAUUGAUUAUAUAUUUUCUUAUCUGUUUCCACUGAUUUUCAGUGAAAGAAAUACAAACUGUUUAGCCUUUUAGCUACAUUAAUAGUUGAUUAUACUUUCAGUUUAUAGCAUGCAGCUAAACAAAUGAUGAUGUUUUAUUCACAUUAGCAAAGGGAGAGAAGAUAACAUGGGAAUGAUGGUAUGCAAAAAAAGAAAUAUAAAAGUUAAAUUUAAGUUCUACGUACAUGUUACUCAUGUAAAUACAUGUAUUUGUGCAAUCAUGUUUUUACAGAGAAAGACGGAGAAGCCUUGUUUGAUGUAAAGCCAAACUGGAAAAUUAAUUAUUAUUCACUUUGUGUGUUGUAAUGAUAACAUUCAACUGGUAAAAACGUAAGAGGGUAUACAGUUGUGGUAUAAGGGUGGUUAUUGAGUUUAUGGUUAGAGUGGGGUUUAAUUUCGUUUUUGGGUACAAUUGUGUUAAGAUUUUUAAGAUGAGUGUUAAACCGAGGGUUAAGGUAAAGAGGUUUAUUUCAAGUUUAUGUUGUGAAUGCCUAAAUUUAAGAAUAAGGAACGUGUUUGUUUAGGUUUUUGAGAGGGGCUAUAUGACGAACUGAACCUCAUCACAGGUUCUUGGAGGGGCCUGCUGUGCAGCCUCUUGCAUCAGGACCAUGGGUCCUGCAAUAUACCUUGCCCAAUGCACUUUAAAAGGCUCUGUUCAUGUGAGUUAUGUACUUUUGUACUCCAGACAGAUAGACCAACCAUGGAAAUCCAGAACCCCUUUACUGAUCUGGGUUAUUUUUGGAUAUGUUGGUCAAUCAUAUCGGGACUAUAAGGGGGUGUAACGUUUGUGGGGUUUCCAUGGGUUUUGUGGGUACUUUUGGGGUGUUGUUAAAAGUUGUGUUUUUUGUGCCUGGAGAUAAUUGAGUUAGUUCAGUUCCUCACUUAAUUAUCUCCCAGGCAUAGGGGAGGGAUUGUCUUGUUUUGUAGGGUAGGUGGAGAACAGCGAGACCCCAACCAAGCUGCAGCGGUUUGUGGGGUUUACGGUGUUUAUGGUGUUCCAGUGCAGUGUUUAGGGUGCUCACAAGUACUAGGAAGCAGCAACUGACAGAGGUACCCGGUCGGGGUGCCAGGCGGUCCGUCACAGGAUAAAUUUAGUGUUAGGGAAAGGGGUGUUUAGGACAUGUGGAAUUCAAAGGAUUAUUUGCAGUGUACUCACCAUCAUAUAUCUUUUGUACUCCAGUCAACUCCCUAUGAUUGAUAGUAGAGCUGCUAUACAGUGUGGAUCACUCAGUGCUGUCCCUGCACCUUCAAGGCACUUCCUGUGUAAGAGGCUGUUAGUAGGUAAAUGGGAGAUAAUGCUUUUCACUUCCCGUUGAGCCUUAAACACAGACACUGGAAGAGCUCGGCGGAAAUGAGCUUUACACCUUCUAUAGCUGUUCCUGCAGCUCUGCUAUUAAGCAUAGAAGGCUGACUGGGCUUCAGAUGAUACUGACCAAGGCUACUAGUAUUCAUCUACACAUUUAAUAGACCACUAUAGUGCUAUGAAUACAAACCUGUAUUGCUAAUGCUAUAGUGCCCCUGUCUGUAGUAAUAUCCAGGCAAUCCUCACCCCUUGUAGUAAAAUAUUUUUUUAAAGAUGUUUACUCACAUUUUUCCAAACCAAUGCUAAUCAUAGAGGAGCAUUGGGCACCUGAUGCACAUGUACAGUGAGUGCUGUGUAUGUAUCCAAGCUUUCCCAUAGGAAAGCAUUGGAUUCAAUACCAUUGGAAAGCAUUGGACUCAAUGCUUUCAUAGGAAAGCAUUGGAUUAAAUUUUCUGUGACCAUAGGUUGAUUAGCCAGUAGGUAGAGCAGGUGCACUAUAAACUACCCUGUUCAAAUAAUACCUUUAUUCCCCCAUAAAGUAUAAACACUUACUUUGCUAAGAGAAUCCAGACCACUUUGAUUAGAGAUGAGUUGUAGAAUUUCAAAUCAGAUCAUUUUGCUCAAAUGUUGCUAUUUGGUUUUCAUCCCUCUACAAAUUGAUCUUUUGUGAUUAAACCCAUAGCCUUUCAGCAUAAUAAGGUAUUUCAAAUACAUUGACUUAAUUUAGUUUUUGGCCACAGUUGCAUUAUUGGAGGAGUAUCCAGACAGGUAGCAGAGUGUUGCAUACUAGUAUCAGUAGCACCGGAACCAUGUGGUAGAGGUCUGCUAACCUCCAAAUAUAUCCACAAGUGAUGAGCCACAGGCUGCACAGUGUAGGGGGAAACUGGUAGUUUUAUUGUGGAAUUAAUUUAUACAAACAGAAAUAUUAAGGGAGAGUGUGUCAGGUUGCUCUAUAAGAGUACGGGAGGCAACCCCUAAUAUUUAUAUUUGAACACUAAAAAACUAAAAACUGAAAAAAGGGGGAAAGAUAGCAGAAAAAAAACCUUUAAGCAACCUAUAAAUAAGACAACUUUUAUUAGAGUCAGUUAAAAUGUGAAAAAUAAAUAUUACUAUAAAAAAGUCCUAGAUAAAUUGGCCUAAAUCGUCGGGAUGGUUCUAUGUGUUAGUGGCCUAUUCAUAUGGGAUGAUACUGCAGCAUAACAUGAUUUUGAAGAUGCAGCCACUACACAUCUAUUAAUUUCACAGAUUACUUUUACUUAGUUUUUGGUUUUUUUGAUUAUUAAUUUUAUUUAGUUUUUUUUCCAUUCUUAAUUUUUUUUUGUUAUUUUAGAUAUUUAGAGGGAUUUGGGAUUAGAUCAGUGACUAGCUUACUAUUAUUGAUAGGUUGGAUGUUUCUUUCAGGCAGGUUGACUUAUGUUAGUUUGUAUUCUCUGGAUAUGAUGAAUUGGACUUAUUUGUUAAGUUCUAAUUCAUUAUAUAUAUAUAUAUAUAUAUAUAUAUGUGUGUGUGUGUUUGUGUGUGUGUGUAUGUAUGUAUGUAUGUAUGUGUGACGAAGUGCUCUUUGCCACUUGUGCCUGGAGAGGACUAAUUACCAGCCUCCAGCCCUGCGACUAUGGCCCCGGGAAGAUUUUGCCCUUUAAAUACGUUAUUUGGGCAUAGUGGAUUUUAUUAGACUGGUUCUGGCCCUUUAAAUGCUCUGACAAAGGAUCUGCAGUUUUGCUAUGCACUUCGGAUGCAGAGUGUGAAGAAAAAAACCCUGUUUUAUGGACUUAGUUUGACUGUUUUAUUCCCCUCCCUCCUAGAACACCAGUUUAAAAACCCUUAACCCCUUAAGGACGGAGCCAAAUGUACACGUUGUGAACAAAACAAAAUGUAAACAAAACCUGGCAUUUGCGCUACAUGUCUGUCCAACCGUAAUACACCUCUUUCAUAUUAAAUGCACCCACCCUUAUUAUAUAUCAUCAUUUUAUUCAGGGGAAAUAGGGCUUUCAUUUAAUAUCAAAUAUUUAGCUAUGAAACAUAAUUUAAUAUGAAAAAAAUGGGAGAAAAUAAGAUUUUUUUAAUUUUUUUAGUUCUACAUGACAUUUUAACUGUCAAUGUCAUAAUACUGUUUGCUUUUACUGCAAUAAAAUACACAUACUUGUAUUCAGCAAAGUCUCACGUGUAAAACAGUACCCCCUAUGUACAGGUUUUAUGGCAUUUGGGGAAGUUACAGGGUCAAAUAUAGCACGUUACAUUUGAAAUUGAAAUUCGCCAGAUUGGUUACGUUGCCUUUGGGACUGUAUAGUAGCCCAGGAAUAAAAUUUACACCUAUAAUGGCAUACCAUUUGCAAUAGUAGACAACCCAAGGUAUUGCAAAUGGGGUAUGUCCAGUCUUUUAGUAGCCAUUUGGUCACAAACACUGGCCAAAGUUAGCGUUAGUAUUUGUUUGUGUGAAAAAUGCAAAAAAAACGCCAAUUUUGGCCAGUGUUUGUGACUAAGUGGCUACUAAAAAAGACUGGACAUACCCCGUUUGCAAUACCUUGGGUUGCCUACUAUUGCAAAUGGUAUGCCAUCAUAGGGGUAAUUUUCAUUCUUGGGCUACCAUAGGGUCUCAAAGGCACCAUAACCAAUCUGGCGAAUUUUAAUGUGAAAAAAAUGAAACGCAAGCCUUAUAUUUGACACUGUAACUUUUGAAAACACCAUAAAACCUGUACAUGAGGGGUACUGUUGUACUCGGGAGACUUUGCUGAACACAAAUAUUUGUGUUUCAAAACAGUAAAAAGUAUCACAGCAAUAAUAUCGUCUGUGUAAGUGCUGUUUGUGCAUGAAAAAGGCAAAAAACGUCACUUUUACUGGCGAUAUCAUCGUUGUAAUACACUUUACUGUUUUGAAACACUAAUAUUUGUGUUCAGUGAAGUCUCCCGAGUAGAACAGUACCCCCGGUGUACAGGUUUUAUGGUGUUUUGGAAAGUUAUAGGGUUAAAUAUAGUGCUAGCAAAUUAAAUUCCCUUUACUUUCGGCAUGGGUUGUCAGGCAGGUCCCGCUAAUUGUAAUUAAUUAAGAUACCUAAUUAUGUAAAAAUAUUACAUAAAUAUAUAUGUAGAAUUAAUAUAUGUAUAUAUAUACGUAUGUGAAUCUAUAUGUAUAUAUAUAAUUUUAUUAAAAUAUUUUUAUUUAUAUAUAGGUAUAUAUAUAUAGUGAUAUAUACGUAUAUAUUUAUGUAUGUAGAUAUAUGUAUUAUUUUGUUCUACGUGUAUUUUGAUAUAAAUAUAUAUAUAUUAAUAUCACAAUACAGUUAGAACGAAAUAACACACAUCUAUAUAUUUUUUAAUUAUUUUUUUAACAUUAUUUUUUUAAUUUUAUUUUUUAACGUAUUUACAUAUUUAAUUUUUUUAUAUUAUAUAUAAAUAUAUAUAUAUAACAAUAAUUAUAUAUAUAUUUAAUCAGUAUCAGUCUACGUGUAAUUUGAUAUUAAUAUAUAUAUAUAUAUAAUUAUAUAUAUAUUAAUAGUAAAAUACACCUAGACAGUGUGUGUGUGUGUGUGUAUGUAUACGUGUAUAUAUAUAUACUUAGAUCUAAGUAUAUCUUUUUUUUACACUUAUUAAUUUAUUUUAAUUUUAUUUCCAGCCAGCAGGGAGACCACCUGUCAUUACAGGCAGCCCCCCUGCUGGCAAUGCAGCAGGCAGCCUACCCAGCCAUGUGAUUGUGAGGUCCUCACAAGGACCUCACUCUCACAUGGCCGGGGGGCACCGGAGGAGGAGGAUCUGCCCGGGUAAGUAAUGAAAGACCGGAGGGCGUUUAGUGUAAUUGUUAAUGUGGAUGGCUUCUCUCCAAUGCAGUAUGUAAAACUAUUUUUAGGGGAUACCAUCUGGGAGGAGAUUGCUUCUCAGACUAACUUGUAUGCUACCCAAUUUAUUGAUAACAAUCCAGGUAGCUAUACAGUCAGGGAGCAUGACUGGCAUCCCACAGAUGUCCCAGAGCUUAAAAAAUUCUGGGCUCUUACAAUGCUCAUGGGGAUUAUAAAGAAGCCAUCGAUUCGCUCAUACUGGAGCACCAACCCAAUAAUGUCUAGUCCAGUAUUCUCCCAAACCAUGCCUAGAGCCAGAUACGAGUUACUGCUGAGAUUUUUACAUUUCAGUGACAAUACCCUCUGUCACCCUAGAGAUCACCCCCAAUACGAUAGGCUUAAUAAAAUAUGCCCACUGCUAGACCAUUUUCAGGACAAAUUUUCGGAUGAUUAUACCCCCCAAGAAAAUUUAUCCAUAGAUGAAUCUCUAUUGAAAUACAAAGGGAGAUUAGGGUUCAGACAAUACAUCCCCUCAAAGCGCUCUAGGUAUGGCAUAAAACUGUACAAACUGUGCGAGAGCGAAAGUGGAUACACAUUUGCCUUUUGUGUAUAUGAGGGGAAAGAUGGUCAACUGGACCCUCCUGGCUGUCAUGACUCCCUGGGGACAAGUGGGAACCUUGUAUGGGACCUACUAAACCCCUUGUUUAAUAAAGGUUACCACCUAUGUGGAUAAUUUUUAUAGUAGUGUCCGUCUGUUUAAAACACUUUAUGGUUUACAGACACUGGUCUGCGGCACUUCCAGAAAAAAUUCCAAAGACUUUCCACAAUCUCUCAUAGAAGCAAAAUUUAAAAAAGCUGAAGUGCUUGCACUAAAAUUUAGGGACAGGAAGGAUGUCAACAUGCUAACCACCAUCCAUGACGAACGCAUGUCAGACGUCUCUGUCCUGGGCAGAGUAGAGUCCAAACCGGUUUGCAUCAGGGCGUGUAAUAAGUACAUGGGGGGUGUUGAUUUGGCUGAUCAGCUGAUCAGCUGAUGCAGCCAUAUCUUAUUUUACGAAAAACCAAAGCAUGGUAUAAAAAGGUCGCUAUCUAUCUGAUGCAAAUAGCAACCCACAACUCAUUUUUGCUUUUUAAAAAAAAUAAUGCAGGGAAAACCACCUUUCUCCAAUUUCAGUUGAAAAUAAUUUCUUUAACAAUUUAUGUAGAUGGACAAGUUCCAACAACGGUGCAAGCUGAAUCCAGACAUUUUAUUUUUAAGUUACCGCCAACUGCUAGAAACCCCCCCCCCCAGAAACGUUGCCGGGUCUGUUUUAAAAAAGGGAAAAGGACAGACACCCCUUUUCACUGUCCUGAUUGCCCUUCGAAACCAGGACUGUGUGUAGGAACAUGUUUCAAGCUGUACCACACAGAACAGUUGUAAGAAGUGUUCCUGAAUUUUUAUUUUAUUUUUUGCUUCCUUGGAAAGCAGCCAUUUUUUGUUAGCCAGUUUCCUUCCCCCAAAUCUCCAGUUAGAUUCUAUUUGCAGGAGUCAGUUUAAAGAUUGCUGCUAAAUGUACAUUUGCUACCUGCACAUUUGGUCUAACAAGUUUUCUGGCAGUAACACAUAACCAGCUGGUCAAAACCAGAUGACGUGUGCAUAAGAACCAGGAUUAAAAAAAUUACCACUACACUUUCUUUGGGGGGCAAAAUGGUUGGGGGAAAGAAGUCAAAACACACCAUCUUCUAUAACCUUUGAUGUCUACUUUUUAAAAAUAUAUACUAUAUAUACUGUCAUGAUGGCAACAUUAACUGUGGGGCGCAAAAAUAUGUCAAACAGAAGAUAGACCAAGCAUACCUAUAUAUCAAGUUGAAAAACUGACAUGUACAAGUUCUGAUUGUUGCCUUUUGGCCCCCAAACAACCCAGCAACCCUAUACAUGGGGGUUAUCACUGUACUCGGGAGAUGUUGCUGAACAUAUUGGGCAGUGUUUGGCAGUGACACAUAACAGGAUCUGUUAAUUCAUGCCUAAAGUACAAUGUGUGUGACAAAGAAACAAAAAAAGAUUACUACCCAAAAGUUUGACAAAGGCUGGUGGUAGAAUUCAGUGCAUGAAAAGUGUUAAAAUACCACUAUUUAAAAUACCCUGGGUUGUCUACUUUUCAAAAAUAUAUGGUUUGAUGGGGGUAAAAUACAUUUGCUCAAAUGGGACAUGGGCACAGGUUGAUUACAUGUCAAAAUUCCAAGUUGGGAAACUGAUAAGCGCACCUGCCAAACGUGGCCUUUUAGCCCCCAAGGAACCUGACAAGCCUAUGCAUGGGCGGUAUCACUGUAUUCAGGAGAUCUUAAUGAACACAUAUUGGGGUGUUGUUUGGCAGUGAUACAUAACAGGAUCUGUUAAUUCAUGCCUAAAGUACAAUGUGUAUGAAAAAAACUGAAAUUUUUUUUACUAACUCAAUGUUUGACAAAGCCUGGUGGUAGAAUUAGUGCAUGGAAAGUGUUAAAAUACCACCAUGUGAAAUACCCUAGGGUGUCUACUUUUCAAAAAUAUGUGGUUUGAUGGGGGUAAAAUACAUUGGUCAGCUUCAAAUGUCCCAAAUAGGACAUGCAUGCAGGUUGACUACAUGUCAAAAUUCCAAGCUGGGAAACUGAUAUGUGCACCUGCCAAAUGUGGCCUUUUAGCCCCCAACAACCUGACACACCUAUACAUGGGGGGUAUCCCUGUACUCGGGAGAUGUUGGUGAACACAUAUUGGGGUGUUGUUUGGUAGUGACACCUAACAGAAUCUGAAUUUAUACCUGAAUUGCAAGGUAUGUGAAAAAAAUAAAAAAAUAAACUACCUAUGCAAAGUUUGGCAAAGGUUUGUGGUAAAAUGGCUGCAUAGAAAGUAUCAAAAUAUUCUUAGAUUCACCUGGUUGAUAACAUUCAAGGGGUGACUCCCACCAAUUAACCCCAUCAUGCUGGGAAUAGAGAGCGCUACAAUCUAUUACUAACAUAAAAAGCCUCUCUGACCCUGCCACAGUAUGUAUAUAUAUAUGUAUAUAUGUAUGUAUGUAUAUAUAUGUAUGUAUGUAUAUAUAUAAUUUAUUUUGAUUUAUCUAUUUAUUUUUGACAUACACACUUUUAAGCCUAUUCAUAGUGGAAUUAAGGACAAAACAAGGAUACAACGUUUCAACCGUGAUACAUGAUUAAGGCCACAUGGCCAAAACAUCAUAUCCUUGUUUUGUCCUGUAUUCCACAAUAAAAAUCUGGUUCAUCCUACUUGUGCAUUAUUGGAGGAAUAAUUGAGCAACUUAACAAAUUAUUAUUAUUAUUAUUAUUAUUAAUAAUAAUAAACUCUUAACCCAUAUGCUCUGUCUAAAACAAGAAUGUCAAACUCGGGGCCCACAAGGACCAUCUUUGAGGCCCGGCGAGGCGCGAGUACAUGCUGGUGUUAUAGCAGAUUAGGCACCUGCUUUCCCCACGUUGCAGGUGCCUACUCUGCUAACACUUACCCGACCGGGGAGGAGGGCCAGCGAGGGAGCUCAGUGUUUCUGCUCCUCACUGCUCCCUCGCGCCGUCUGUAGUGAAGCCGGGCGCCAGAAUAUGACGUCAUAUUCCGGCACCCGGCAUCACAAAACCGCGCGAGGGAGGAGUGAGGAGCAGAUGCCCCAAAUCGGCUCCAAAAGGUAAGAAGCAAUAAAAAAAAGUGUAUGUGCGCAAGAAUGUGUGCGUGUGUCUGUCUGUCUAUCUGUAAGUGUGUGUCUGUCAGUGAGUGUGUGUGUGUGUCUGUCUGUGAGUGAGUAUGUGUGUGUGUCUGUGUGUCUGUCAGUGAGUGUGUGUGUGUCUGUGUGUGUGUCAGUGAGUGUAUAUGCGUCUGUCAGUGAGUGUGUGUGUGUGUGUGUCUGUCAGUGAGUAUGUGUCUGUCUGUCAGUGAGUAUGUGUCUGUCUGUUUUUCAGUGAGUGUGUGUGUGUGUCAGUGAGUAUGUGUGUGUCUGUCAGUGUGUGUGUCUGUGUCUGUUUGUCUGUGUCAGUAAGUGUAUGUGUGUCUGUCAGUGAGUGUGUAUGUGUGUCAGUGAGUAUGUGUGUGCGUCUGUCAGUGAGUAUGUGUCUGUCAGUGUGUGCGCGUGUGUGUGUGUCUGUGUGUUAGUCAGUGAGUAUGUGUGUGUGUCUGUCAGCGGGAGGAUUAGAUUUGGCACAGGGUGGUAGAGUAUAGUAUAGGGGGGACUGGGAUUUAGUAGAGAGGGGUGCUGUGGUUUAGUAGAGGGGGAUGCUGGGGGUUUUUAUACUGUACUUUUUAAAAUAAACCUAUGUUUCUAUGAAAAUUUUAGUUUUUUGGGUUUUUUUGCGGCCCACAUAAACUUAAACCUUGUUUAUGUGGCCCGUGCCAGACUUUGAGUUUGACGUGCUUGGUCUAGAACAUUGGGUUUACACUGAGCUUUGUAAAUUUACAAAGUGUAUUUCCCCUUCUGGCAUUCAGAGAGUUUCUCAGUAAUACUUAAUAUUUUCACCUUAGGGCUCCAAUUACCCUUACUCUGGUAUUACUGUAUACAAAAUGUAACAUAGCAGGUUAAUAACUGGUUGUUUUGCCUAUGCAUUAUAUUUUGAGUGGAAUGCAGCACAUUGAACCUCACAGUGAUACAGAUCAGUGAUGUCAGAUGCAAGUAUGGCUAUAUUAUAAAUAUGAAAAGCAUGUUUUUUUCCAUUCACCAAAUAGAUAUUUUUAUGAUAUAGUUAAAGAAUAAAAUAUAUUUGUUGCAAUACAAAGGCUUUCUUGUAAAAUUGCAUAAAAUGCACAUUUCAGUAAAAAUCUUGAAAUUAUAGGACUUCAUUUUCAUGCAUAACUGGCAACAUCCAAAUAUACAUCAGGAUAGUCUUGAUUUUUGGCCACUCUCCAGGUGUCCUAGACUUUUUUCCUGGUGUUCCGCUUCUACACUUAUGAGAGAAAAGUGUCCAUAUAUAGAAAGACUACAGUAUUUCAUAAUCUAUGCGUUAUCACAAGCGUUUAACCUACACAUUAGAAUUUAUACACUGCUUUGUGUAUGAUCAGACUUCAUUUUUUUUUAUCAGUAUAGGCAAAUAUCUUCAUGCAUUUUAUGGCUUUCUUAAGGUGGCUCUAUCACACCACCACCACCACCAAAAAAAAUUGUAUUUCAUAAAGAUAAAAUAUUUAUGAAAUAAUCACGUUGACUGUUGGAAUUUUACUGAAAUUUUAACGCAGUCAAAAGAUAUUAUAAGACAAAGAAGGGACUACUUUGUUUUAUGUAUACUCCCUAUGCCUGACAAAACUUGACAAAUGACAGGGCUCCCUUUGUCAAGUUUGGUAAUUUACUCCAGCCAGCACUAGUGAAUGUGAGAAGAAAGGUAUUGCCUGUUAUCUUGUGGGAUCUUCCUUAGACCCAAGUUUUGUACUUUCGCACAUCUACGUAGAAUACAUAUGUGUUCUCCUGGUAGACGAAACACUAGGAGCUAAAGAUAAUCUAAUAGAUGCAGAUGGUGGUGGCCGUUAAGUUACCUUACCUUCCCGUGGACCCCACCGAGCUGCGCAGUCGCCAAAUUAUGCAAAUACCACAGGAGGUGACAGAGACACUCCAAGAGGCCAUGCAUUGUAGACAAGCAAUUAGUAAGACCAUGGGAUCAGAAACUCACAACUGAGCCAUUAUAAAUUGAGAAACUUUUGAGUUUGGCUAAAAACAUCUUGUACCAAAAUUAGAUUCCAGUUAAACGUUAAAUUCUGGUCAGCGACCAAAACAUUUACAGACGUGGGUAAAAUAAAGGCAACAUGCUGUGAUCUGAAAAAUGUCAUGUAGCAAUAAAAGUAACGAGAGAUGUUCUAUAAAUGUAGUAGGUAUACUUGAACCUUUCUAAUUACGUCUUUUUUUUGUUUACAUUAAGCCUAAAUUAACGUUUUACUCUAUCUUUACUAACUCAUUCUGUGCAUCACAGCAAUGCUCAUUAGAUUAGUAACAUGAGGUCCCCUGUCACUGUGUCUCUGUAUACACUGAUCAGCCUAAUACUGUGUAGGCCCCCCUCGUGCUGCUAAAACAGCUCUGAUACAUUGAGACAAGGACUUCACAAGACCUGGGAACAUGUCCUGUGGUUUCUGGCACCAAGACAUUAGCAGCAGAUCCUUUAAGGUGCAUUAUCCUGCUAAAAGAGGCCACUGUCAUCAGGGAAACACCACUGUAUGUGGUCGGCAACAAUCUCUAGGUAGGUGGUCUGUGUUAAAGUAACAUCCUCAUUAAUGACAGGACCAAAGGUUUCCCAGGAGAACAUUGUCCAGAGCAUAACACUGCCUCCACUGGCCUGCCUUCUUCACAUAGUGUAUCCUGCUGCCAUUCCAAGGUAAACAACUUGAUCUAAAAGAAAAUGUGAUUAAUUAGACCAGGCAAUAUUCUUCUAUUGCUCCUUGGAUGCUCACAUCCCCAACGAAGAUGCUUUCGUCAGUGGACAUGGGUCAUCAUGGGCACUCUGAGCGAUCUGCAGCUACGCAGUCCUAUACGCAGCAAUCCGUGAUGCACUGUGUUCUGACACCUUUCUAUCAUGGCCAGCAUAAAGUUUUUCAGCAGUUUGAGCUACAGUAGCCCUUCUGCCUAAUCGUAACAGACAGGCUAGCCAUCAUUUCCCAUAUGCAUCAAAAAGCCUUGGGGGCCCAUGACCCUGACACCGGUCCACCGUUAUCCUUCCUUGCACCACUCUUGGUUUGGACAAAUCACUGCAUACUGGGAACUACCCACUAGACUUGCUGUUUUGGAGAUGCUCUGAGCCAGUCGUCUAGACAAUUACUAUUUGGCCCUUGUCAAGGCCACUCAGAUCUUUUCACUUGCCCAUUUUUAUUGUAUCCAACACAUGAAAUUCAAGAACUGACUGUUCACUUUCUGUCUAAUAUGUCCUACCCCUUCUCAGGUACUAUUGUAAUGAUAUAAUCAAUGCUACUCACUUCAACUGUCAGUGUUGUUAAUGUUAUGGCUGGUCAGUGAACAAACAGCGACUUUUGACGGCACAAUUUGCAAAACUCAUUGCAGCUUUAAGACUGGAGACCUGCCAAGUUAUGUUGGACUGCAUCACAAGAUGGAUGAAGUGGGGUCAUUGCCAAAGGGUGAGUGCGCCCAUCGUACUAUUAACUUCACAGGAAAUAUGCCCAACCAAACCAACACUGUGGGAAACAGCCAUUUUGUUGGGUGAUUAGAAGAUCUGUGUGCAAAUUAUCUUUCACAAAAUAUAAUUCUGUGAUUGACAAGUCUAACACUUCCUCUUUUUUCACUUCAUCCUUUGCCAUCCAAAUUCCAUUCAAUCAAUGUAUUUGUAAAUCAUGAACGAAGUCUGUUGUGUGGGGCAGCUAUUAUUGGAACUGUGCUAUGUCUGUUAUCAGUCUAUUCACAGCAAUUCCAGUCUAUUUAGCAAUCCACUUAUCUGAUCCAAGCAGAACUACUACUGAGACCGAACUGUACAUCCCAUGACCCUUGCUGUAAUUUGGUUUAUUGGAUACGAUUAGGCUACAGAGACUGGGGAAGGGGGGGAAAGAGCCUUCCUAUGGGUGGUGGUGCUCUAUGCUGCAGCCUCUUGUCUGUGUGUUGGGAAUUUUAAAUAUGAGCAUCUUUAGUAGCUUGACCUUUUUGCAUAUUUUAGAGCUACCUCUCUCUCUCUUAUGUAUUAAAAAUGUAUGGGCUAUACUGGAGUGUUCUAUCAAGUUAGUUUUAUCAAAGCAUUUAAAAUGUUCAUUAUCAUUGCCAAAUACUUAUCUUAAACCUUUUAUAGCUCAGACAAGUCUCAGCUUAAGAGUAUUUGGCAGAAAUACAUAACAAGAUGAGUGCACUGGAGCAAAACUGAAUGUGCGGAUAUAAGUUCUUUUCAGUUUCCACAAUCAAUGCCAAAGAUUUGCAGGUGGGAGCUUAACAAAUAAAUAUUUUACUAAGCAACCCAUCUCAAACCAUUUACAAUUGUAGAUAUUUUAUUUUUCACUGAGUUUAUAAAAAAUAAAGUAUGCUAAACUUUGUACAUUUCCUGAGUUUCAUAGACUAAAGUUAAAAUUCCAUUGUCCCAGAAUUGGAAAAUAAAAUUCCAAUUAGUUUUAGAAGGUAAAUUUAAAGGUAUGCAAAUGCAGUGUUACAGGUUAAUAUCAUAUCAUUGAUUUGUUGAUGUAUCUUUAUGGUUUUCUUUUUUCCCAUAACUUGAUUAAUAAAGUGUUUUAGAAUCAUGAAUCACGGAUCUAUUCGUAGAAACUGAAAAUUGUGACUGAACCCGCAUCAACUGUAAUAUUUUACUGUCAGAAGCCAUCAGGGAGGAGUAAACACAACCAGCUGGCAAAUUAAUAUAACUACUCAUUUAAAAUGCCAAAUACACUGUCUCCAGUGGGGAUAAGAAAAACAAAAACAUUUAAUGCUGAAGAUGACGAGAAGAAAAAAAGCUGAAGUCACUCACAAAGGGCUGGAUUUGUACUUCUCAAUGGCAAAGGGGGGCGAAUAAAAAGUAAUCUUCAAUCAAAAGCAUCCAAAAAGAAAAAUGGUUGUUUUUACUCUUUAUUAAGAGUACAAAUUUCUGAACUUGCACUCCUUGUGCAAACAUCCCCUAUCCCAUACUCUAUUUGUAUUUUCAUUAAAACAUAGAGAUAUGUAAAAUGGAUGUCAGAACUCACAAAUGCUUUAAACAGUAUAUAGUGUCUUUAACCCCUUAAGGACCAAACUUCUGGAAUAUAAGGGAAUCUUGACAUGUCAAACAUGUCAUGUGUCCUUAAGGGGUUAAUCUUGCAAUAUUACAUUUUACACAGGAUCUGAAAUGAUAAUGUAAACAUGGUAAAAUAUCCUUCUUAUGUCAAUUUAUAAGGACCCCAAAGACAUUACUAGCAGUACAGUCAAAACAUUUUCAAAGAAUGUCUGCAUUUGAGCAUAAUGCCCACACUUCGUAAAUAAAGUUAAAUCAUACAGUUGUAAAUUAAAGGUAUUUUUAAAAGGUGUGAUAGCAAUAUUUAUCAAUCCCUGGAAAGCUAAUGCAAUGCUAACAGUGAAAUGGUAAAACCCAUGCACUCAUCCCCCUUCCUCAUUGUAGGAAUGGUCAACCCCAUUGAAACCUCCUUCACUGUUUGGAAGGAGGAUGUGGUCAUAGUUACACAGCUGAAAAUUUUAGUCUGACAUUAAAUAAUUUGUUAAUGGCUUCUGGCAGAAAAAUCCAGUCCUCUACAGGGUAUUAAUCCUUCCUAGAUUAAAAAUGAGGAUGAGUGAGGCUUUAUGGACUACAUUAUACUCUGCAAAGUACAUGGAAGUAAAAUGCUUAUCCUCAAUUCCAGAAGUGAAGAGGCUAAACCUAAAUUUAAUCAGCACCAUUAUGGAACAGUGGUGAAAUGAUUCUGCCCUCCAGUGUUAUUCCAGUGGUGCUUAGCAUUUAAAAUCCAGUUAUCAUUUGAGACAAUUUGGUGUCACUUUAAAUAGAAUAAACUUGUCAUAGCAAACAUAUAGAUUAAAAAUAUGAAACUAUACAUUAGUUAUAACCUUCUUUGCCAUCACUGCUAUGUUAUCAGCAUGCUUGAACAUGACACAUUUGGAUGUGCAUACUCAGCCACUUGGCCUCCAAGAAGAGGUGUUUUAUGGAAACAUGCCAUUCAGUUACUCCUUCCAUCUCAGGAAUGCCUUGUUGGGUGAUGACCAAAAAGACCUUCAGGUAAGUAUAUCCUUUAUCUAUACCAGUGGUUCCCAUUGCUAUUCAAUGCAAGGCACAUCAGCUGUCCAUUGGCAUUCAAAGUUUUUGGAAGGUUGUCAAUACACAAAACACUUUCCCUUUGAAAUAUCCUUCCUUUUACAACAACAAACACAACUGGAAUAAAUUAUUACAAACCAUAUAUUUCCACUUCCUUUGUUUAAAGUUUUCUUAAAGGGAGGCACAAUAAAUUAAGCUCACUGUACACAAAAUGAGCUAAAUAAAUAACAGCUGAAAAUUACUGAAAAUAAUACAUAUGCAAUGACUGGAACUAAUUCAAAAUUGCAUAAACCGAAAACUGCUGAACAGUCAAAGUAACCAAAUGUAUGGUUUAAUUUAAAUGUUAAAUAUUCUGCAGAGUUAGCUCAUAUCAUUAUACACUCUGUUCAUUGCAUUUCAAUGAUUUCACUGCAAUAAUCCACUUUGAAUCAAGAAUGGUUUAUAUACAUGAAUAUAUAAUAUAACCACCUAACCUUUAAAGAGUCUGCAAUGACUUAAUAUACUCUUGUUCUUAUGUGAAAUAGCACAUUGAGAUACAUUAAAAUAUGUGAGUAAAAUAAGAGGUUUGUUUAUUAUGCUUUGCUCAUUGCUGCCAAAUAUGCAGCUUUUUAGAGAAAGUGUGAACUAAGAGACAGGAGAAAAAAACAGUAACAUAAAAUUAAAUCUGUAUUCUGAUUGGGAGACAGUAACUAACCAAUUUGAAUAAAACUAGAAUUUGUUUCAUGGCUAAUAUAUAAACUAAGAGCAGCAUAUAGUUUACUAUACAAUACAGAAUAACUUGAAUGAGAAAAGUCAAAUAAUUAUGCAAUGUAGCUAUCAGGGCCAGAUUUAUAUGAGGGCCAGAUUUACAUGUCAGGUGCCUUUAGGUAUAGAAUUCCAAGGUACCUCCUUCCUAACCCUGCCAUGUCCCCAAAAAUAUAGAUAUUGCAGGCAUGAAAACAUCUAAAACUCAUAUACUGGUAUUUGGUAACUGCGUCUGUGUAUAUAUGUGUAUAUAUAUAUAUAUAUACACACACAUAUUUCUGCUUGUAUUAUGUUUGAGUUUGUGAGUAUAGUUAGUUUAUUCAGCUGUGUAAAUACAUGUAGGGUUAAAGAUAAUGGUAGAAAUGGUUAGAGCGAAGAGAUGGUUAGGGUUAUAGAGGAGCUAACAUCAAAGUUAGAUUGCAUAGGGUGUUAAGAAGGGUUGGAGCAGGGUUAUAUUUAGUGUUGUAGUACGAGGGAUGUUUAUUUUUCAAGAGGAAUUAAACCUAAUAUUUAGGUAAAGGUUUUUUCAAUGUGGGAAAUUUAAUGUGGGAUUAGGGAAAUAGUUUGUUUAUGUUUUGGGACUGGUUAAAUUUAAGGAAAAAGGGGGGUUUGUAGCAUGUGGAGUUUGAGGGCUUAUUUCAUAAGUACUCAUCCCCCUAUAUGUUCUGUAGUCCAGUCCCCUCCUAUAAAUGAAAACAGAUUUGCAGGACGUUAUACAGUGUGCAUCACUCAGUGCUAUCAUUGCUCUUCUUGCAAGGCACUUCCUGUAUGAGAGGAUAUUUCUGGGCAGAUGGGAAAUUAUCCCUUCUACUUCCUGUCCAGCCUUACUCUGGAGGAGUUGGAACAACACCGUCUAUAACUGUUUCUGUGGCUCUGCAUAAAUGCAAAUGUACUAACUUGUUUGACCUAGUGAAAUGCCCCAUAAACUACUAGAAACAUGAUGAUGUGUCCAACUAUGGGACCUACUGGAAACUUCCAGUUUGCUUGGAAUGUGUAACUAGGUAGACAAUGAGCUAAACUGGUUUGUUAUGAUUAAAGAAUUAAAUACCUGUAAAUGGAUGAUGUGUCCAACUGUGGAAUCUACUGGAAACUUCCAGUUUGUUAGGACCAGGUAGACAAGGGGUUAGACCGGUUUGAUCUGUUGACUGAAUGGAAUGACCUGGAAUGUACCAGAAAUGGAUGUAUAGAAAUGUACUACUGCUUGGCAAUAGCUAUGUGGACAAUUCUAACUAUCUUUCUACUCCUAACUCUAACACACAUAUGUAAAUAAAUACACAAACACACACGUACACACAUAUACACACACACCCACACACAGUCUCUCUCUUGUGGUCAUAGAAAAAGGCAGAGAGAGUGCAAGUUGGUUGUGGUAGGACUGUAAAUAAAGAGGGCCCACCAAGAGGUAAUGAUUAAUAAAGCAAGUAGUGUGUGGGAUGAACCAUAUGCUAACUGGCCAUACGAGGAGGUGACCUGUGAUUAAAUAGGCCGGGGAAGGAUAAUACAAUAGGAAGGACAAUACAUGGGAGUGAUAACUAUGUGGGGGGAACCUUGCCAAAGGCUGUAGCUUUAGGCAGCUUGGCAGGGAUCAGCGAUAUGCCCCUUCCCCAGGUCUCUGUGUUCUGUGCUCCCCUCCUUCCCAGUCUCGACCACCUCUAGUUGUGAAAUUGAUAAGUUCAAAGUUCAGUCUCUGCUUUAGCAUCUAUGGAUCAUUAUCCGAGUAUAGAAUUAGGGCCGUUUCUCAGUGUGGGAGUAGUAGUGCAUCAUCUGCUCCCCAGUGUUACCUGAUGGAGUGGUCUCUCAACUUUUUGGCAGCUGGGGCCAGCUUACGUUUCUCCAUCAGGACAGAAAAGGGUAAGUCCCUGAAGAGUGUUACCGAACUGCCUUCAAAUUGUAUGCUUCCCAUCGCUCUGGAGCGGGCCCGAUGGCGGAGUGAACAGCUAUGUCUCUAUUUACUAUGGUCGUGUCUCUGGGGCCUUCAACCUGGGAGUAGGGUAGUAGUGCUUCCCCAUUGACUCUCUCUGGUAUUCCGCUCAGGUGGACAUUCCGACGCCUAUGUCAACAUUCUAUUACGGUCACAGCCCGGUUUAUUUGUUUGACCUGUUGAGUGAGUUCCUUCACUUGGGUCCUGGUGUCCUGCAGCCGCUUGUCCCGUUCCUCUCCUCCACUACCUUAAUCUUCUGCUGGACAACCCAAUCCCAGGUCUCUUUGACUUUCCAGAAAGUUUGCCUUCCACACUUUCCAGAGGUCAAGGAGCAGCUUUUUUAUAUCCCCCUUGGAAGAGGGAGAUGAGCCUUCAUCAGAUUCAAAAUCUUGAUUGACCUCACUCUGCUGGGGGAUGACAGGUGACUCCACAACCUCCUGGGGCUCCUCUGAGCCUCAUCUUUAAAGGAAAGUCGAAUAUCUGGCAUGUAAGGGCUCUCUGCUCAGCAACACAUAUUGUGUUUGCACCCCACAAUGUCCUAUGGAGGGCAGUGUAGUAAUGGUGUUCGCAAAGCCUGUAGUUAGGGUAAAGUCAUCUUUGUUACAGAUCUGGUGCAGAGCUCCACAGAAAUGUGUCUAUGCAGUAACUUAGUUAGUCAUGCCCCCCUAAGUCCUAGUCUUUUAAUUAUGUGUACAGGGAAGUUCUUACUAGAUGCGGUCCCAAUUCUAAAUUAAUGUCUUGAAAACAAUGAAGGAUCACAGACAAAUCCUUCGAUUUGUGUCCUAACGUACAAGAUGAAUUUAGAUGUUGUGAGUGGGUUACCGUGUAACCUUAACAGAGGUGUAUUCCCAAGAUGACCUGUAGUGAAUGGCAAAAUUGAUCAAGUAUUUUUACUGGGCACUAUUUAUUGUCAGUAUAGGUAUAUGUCUGUGGGUGGUCCCAUUUGAUUUUUUUUUAUUGUUGCAGUGUAAGUGUAUAAUGAUCCCCUGUUUUUUUAAAUCAUAGCUUUUGAGGCAUUGGAAUGUACCAGUAGCACUGGGACUUGUAGGUUUCUGGUUUUCAGCUUGGUCUGGCUCAGAAGGAGGGUCUAGCAGGAGUGCUGGAGAGGGAAAAAUAUUUUCCUUGUUUCUGAGGCAUGAGACAUACAAGACAAAUGAAAUUUUUAAGAAAUUGUAAUAGAACUUGCAAAGCAUGCAACCCUAAAUCAACUGGCGACUUACUUGGUGCCGAGUGGCGAAGAAAUUAGCUAAACAAGGGGAAUAUGGUCAAUGCCCAAAUAAGAAGCCAAAAAUGUGUCAUGGUUUUAUGGCCAAAUGAGGGCCAGAUGUGAACGUAUAGAAAAGAAACUUAACAUUUGGUAGGUCAAUGUGGCAAAGCCAAAUGAGGGCUGAGUGUGAAUGACUUGGAUAGAGUGUGAUGUGUGAGUCUAAGAGGCCCCAGUGAGAUUUGAACUCACGACCCCUGGUUUACAAGACCAGUGCUCUAACCCCUGAUAUGGUAUAUUUUUGCACCUAUAUUUAACCUUAUUGUCCUUUUAUUUCUAUUUUGUCUCUAUUCUAUUUUUUUAUAAUAUUUAUAACCCCCCCUUCUCCCUUUGACAUAACCAGAAAAUUGCUUUUGUUUGCUUUGGAGGGAUGGGUGGAUUUAAACUUGUGGCCCUCGGGGGUUGGGUGUAUUUUGCUGGUGGUGCACAAGCCCGCUGACCUGUUUUUCCAGGUAUAGUUGUGAUAAGGCCGAAUGAGGAUCAGGUGCAACUUAACAAACUCUAGGAUGGCAUAUGAGGGCGUAGUGAGAUGUUGAGGGUGUAUGGUAAUGUGAGAUGAGGGCCGAAUACUCGAGAAUGAUUGUAAUUAGUGAUGUCCCGAACGGUUCACCACAGACGGCGAACAUAUGCGCUGUUCGGUCCGCCCCCUAUUCGUCAUCAUUGAGUAAACUUUGACCCUGUACCUCACAGUCAGCAGACACAAUCACAAUCAGCAGCUUCACAAUGAAUGUAAAAUGGAUGCUGUCCAGGAGGUGUGAGGGUCUGGGAGGGAGGGUCUGCUGCUGAUUGGCUGGAAUGUGUCUGCUGACUGUGAGGUACAGGGUCAAAGUUUACUCAAUGAUGACAUAGCGGGCUGACCGAACAGCGCAUAUGUUCGCCGUCCGUGGCGAACCGUUCGGCGAACCGUUCAGGACAUCACUAGUUGUAAAGACUGAUAGUAAUUAAUUAUGGCCAGUAAUGUAGCCAAGUUGCUGACAUUGACAUAGUCUGUAAUAGGUCUUAAAGUGGAAUGUAACAAUAAUCGUCUUUAGCUGAGGCGUUGUUAAGGGCAAAUAACCAUUUAACAGCUCUGUAAUUUGACCGACACAAGACUGUAAUUACAACUAGAAUAUGCAUAUGUAAAGCCCGGAUAGGGCCAAAAUCAACAUAAUUAGUAGCAGACAGAUGUUAUAUUAUAAAUACAACUAAAACAUGCAGUGUACAAAUGAUUAUUAUUAUAUGUAUAAGCCCAAUUCAAGCCAACAAAACUUGUGAUUGUCUGCUGUAAUAGUGACCAUAAGGUCAAGGUCACAGUAGGCCAAAUGAGGCCUCAUGACCUAAAAGUGUACAUGUAAAAUACUUAGAGACUGAUCGAGGGCCAAAUGCGACCUUAUAUAAUGAUAAUAUGGCCAAAUGAUGGUCUGCAUUAAAAAAAACCUGACAUUUAUACAUAGUGGCCGAAUGAAUGUCAAAUGCAAUUGUAGCAAUGCGUUCUAGCCGACCACAGUAUUGUUAAUAUAUUACAGUAUUGUUAAUAUAUUAUUUAGGAAUGGCAGUAUUGUUAAUAUAUUAUUUAGGAAUGGCCGAAAAGCGAACCUUAAAACUCCAAAAUUGCCUCAUGAGGGACGAAUGUACUUGUGGCUUUUAGUUCUAGCCGAACAAGUUGUCAUUAUUAAAGAUGGCUGAAUGGCAAAAAGCAAAUGUUAAAACUCAGCUAUGGCCAAACAUGGGCCGAAUGAGAGUGACAUAUAAGUCUAUUAGUUUGGCAGAAAUGCGGGCCAAAAUGCCAUGAUUCAAUAUGUCCAAGUGUGGGCUGAACAACAGUGCCUGUAUGUGUGAUGGGAAAAGGCUAAAAUAGGUCAAAUGUUCAUAUAUUAUAGCUGGCAAACAAGGGCAGAAUGAAAUAACUCCCUGUUAGAUGCCACCGAACGUGGUCAGAUGAGAUGAAGGGAAGCCACGGCUGGGCUAAAUGCUGGUAGCUUCACCGGUGCUUGUAGGCUGAGCCUUCAAAAUGGUUAAGCGAGCCAAAUUGGUGCCUGCAGAGGCACAAACAAUGGGAAAGCCAUGUGUAUUGGGCCUUCCAUGUGUUGUAGUAAGCUGUGUGUUGCAAGGCACAGAUUCUUGGACCAGAACCGGAAGUUAAAGGUCAGUGAUAAACCAUAUGAUAACUGCCAAAAGGAGGGGAUAAAAUAGGCACAUUGAAAUUACUCUGGUUUUCAAGUACGUCCUGUGGAUGUUACCUUAGCCCAACAUCCAGGUGUUGUUAUAGAUGAUUUUCAAUAUUUAUUUCAGUGUAAAUUCCAGAUCGAUGGUUUCCAUUUAAUUUUCUAUCACCAGGUGAUAUAAUGUGUUUUUUCCCCAUUCUUGUUUACCAAUUCACACGAUUUCCAGAUAAAUGCCCUUACGUUAAAAUAACCUCUCUUCUUGAGCUAUUCCUCAGGGCAAGCAGCACUUAAAGCAGCCACAAAGUAUUGUUUGGAUAACACAUGAAAAGACCAUGCUUAAAUGUAUAACUGCGCCAUCAACUAAGCUCCAGAAAACAAUUAACCUAAAAAUAAAUAUUCUGUAUAGAUAUACACACUGUAUAUGGGGAUGGGGGAGACACUGGGACCCUCAAAUCUAAAUAAAUUAUAUUGCGAUAUAUUAGAACACAUUAAAGAGCUGUGUAGCACCCACUAAUCUCAGGCAGGAUAGAUAGAUAGAUAGAUAGAUAGAUAGAUAUUAGUUAACCAGUUAAAUACUGUGUAUUGUUGGUAGAUUUAAUUGAGACAAUGUCAAGAAUUUUAUUUUAGAAAUGCUUAGAUAAUAAUCAAGUUGUUAUAGAUUUUUAAACACCAUUUUCCCACUUUGCACUUGACUACGUGAUCAGUAGCCAACAAUUUACAACACCAAAAUAAAUACUGUUUAUAAUAAAUGACUUCUAUUUUCAGAAGUUUAUUUAAUGAAUAAAGAGUGCUGGGUUCACUCCAACUUUGUAAUAAAUGCUAUAUAUAAAUCCCUGCUCAUCUUAUAGUUUUAACUAAAUGUUGAAGCUGAUGAGUGAUGCUUGAAGUUGAAAGGAAAUAUUCUGGUGACAACAUUACGGGUCUGUUUUUAAACAUUGGAUUUGACCAGUGUUUUGACUGGCAUGUAACAAACAUUCAGUAGAUUCUUCUUAAUAAGAACAAGUUUGUCUUGGCAGAAAAGUUCUUUAAUGCCAGGAUUAAAAUAUACAUGUAGCUGUAUGAAAGAGAAUUUUGCUUUGAAAUUGGCAGAAACUAUAGAUGACAUCAUCAGUGACCUGGACUGAAAUUGGAUGUUACAAACGUUGUUUCCUAUUAUGUUACAUUAUGUAAUAAACCUGUUUUAUUGGCAUGUGCAUAAUAACAGUUUUCCUGCAUGUUUGCUUUUUUUUAAAAAAAAAUCUUUCAUAUAUAAUGUUUUUACUAUAUUUCUGAUAAAAUAGUUACAAUGCAGCCGGCUAAAUAUUUUGUUAUUUUAUAAAUUAAAUGAACGACAUAAAUUAUACAAAUAAAUAUAUUAAAGGAACACUAUAGUCACCUAAAUAACUUUAGCUAAAUAAAGCAGUUUUAGUGUAUAGAUCAGUCCCCUGCAAUUUCACUGCUCAAUUUACUGUCAUUUAGGAGUUAAAUAACUUUGUUUCUGUUUAUGCAGCCCUAGCCACACCUCCCCUGGCUAUGAUUGACAAAGCCUGCAUGAAAAAAAACUGGUUUGACUUUCAAACAGAUGUAAUUUACCUUAAAUAAUUGUAUCUCAAUCUCUAAAUUGAACUUUAAUCACAUACAGGAGGCUCUUGCAGGGUCUAGCAAGCUAUUAACAUAGCAGGGGAUAAGAAAAUCUUAAUUAAACAGAACUUGCAAUAAAGAAAGCCUAAAUAGGGCUCUCUUUACAGGAAGUGUUUAUGGAUGGCUGUGCAAGUCACAUGCAGGGAGGUGUGACUAGGGUUCAUAAACAAAGGGAUUUAACUCCUAAAUGGCAGAGGAUUGAGCAGUGAGGCUGCAGGGGCAUGUUCUAUACACCAAAACUGCUUAAUUAAGCUAAAGUUGUUCAGGUGACUAUAAUGUCCCUUUAAAUAAUACAAAUUGUGUUUCAGAAACAGUGGAAAGUAUUUGGCAAGUUAUCCUUCUCUUUCUGCUUUAUGGUGGUGAAUCAUGGAUUAUAAUGUCUGGCUCACCCAAAGAAACAAGAUAUAGCAAAUAAUAAACUUAACAAAUAAGACACUGGAAAAGGUGCAUCUAAAUCUGGCAGAAUCCCAGCGAUAAUGAUAUCAUUACAAAAAUCAAGAAAAUCAAAGGCAGUGGGCAAAAGAUUAUGCCAAAAGAUCUGAUAGCAGAUGGGACAGACACACACUCAGACACAGACACUCUGUUCUACAAAGAAGUAAGAAUAUUUUAGCACUUAUUGUUAAAUGUUUUAAAUCGUGAGCACAGUGUUAAAGAGAUACUCUAAACACCAAAACAACUUUAGCUUAAGGAAGCAGUUUUGGUGUAUAGAUGAUUCCCCUGUAGCCUCACCGCUCACAUAAUUUCAGAUCAUAACGUUGUUUAUGCAGGUCUAGCCACACCUCCCCUGGUUGUGACUCACACAGCCUCCAUGAAACAAAUGAUUUUGUUUUGAAUUAGAACUUACAGCACAAUAUCUUUACUGAACUUGUGGAAUUGUUUUUUUUCAUCUGAAUUUCAUGCAUUUUGCUGAUUCGUACAAAACAUGAACUAAGAAAUUGCAAUUUGUACAAAAUGUCCAAACACGGACAUACACUUCAUGCAUUUGCCAUUUGUCUAAUUACAAGGAGGGAGCUAUCGUAAUUAUUAAAUACUGUAAUACUGGAAUUAGAUUAUUUAGAUUGCUCUUAUGGCCAACUCCGAAAAGGCAGCGUUUACAUUCAAAAGCCUGCAUGGACAUGCUAUAGAUUGUGGCUGAUCAGUGGAUACUUUUUGAAUAAUUUUUUAUGACUAUCUCAUAACAAGCUAACUGAAACAGUGCCCAUAGAUACCUAAAAUGGGGUUGCGAGGACAGUGUAGCCAUGCAUGUUGUGAUGUGUUAUGCACAUCUGAUACCCUUUGCGCAGCCAUAUAGUUAGAUGAUGAUAGACAGACAGACAGACAGACAGACGACAUGGAUGCUGAGUGGGAAGUGCUGGUAAGAAAAAAAGGUUUUUUAUAAGUGAUCCCUUAUUAGGAUAUAAAAAAUGUCGCAUACACUUUAAUGUAAUAUUUAAGUAGGUUUUGAGACAUAUCUUAAACCACUUGGGAAAAAAUAGUUUACAGACCGGAAUACUUGUUACUGCAAAUAUUUCUUGUUUUCUUAUUGUUUCAAAAAAAAUAUGGUUUACCAGUAAUAAAUGCUAAAAUGGAGAGUUUUAAUGGGAACAUUUUAUCCAGACUUUAUUACGAAAUAGGAAUGCUCUGAGCUCCUGGACUUAGCUGUUCUUAAUGAGACCCAUAUUUCCUCACUUGUCACGGUCAGGUCUUAAAAUACUUGCCACUGUCAGGGUUUCAGGAGCGAUUCAAAUUAUGACACUAAUUUUCCUUUUACAACUCCUUAAGGACAGAGGAACAGUUAGGACCCAGGUGCAAUAUUAGAAGUCUUUUAUGGCCCUUAAAAAAAACAAAAAAAAAGUAUGUAAUUUAACUUUCCCAAUAUAAAACUGCACGGAUAAAAAAAAAUGUAAGAAUCAACCUUCAUAAAUGUCUAACUAUUUCCCCCACCAAGUGGACAAUGAAACAUUUUGCUUAUGUAGAGAACCUAUCAAGACUAUCAAGAUUAGGGUUAGUGCACAGUAAACUCAUGCAUUGGAAAAAAAAUUGGUUUAUCUGGAAAAAAAAUAAAAAAAAAUUUGGGUUUGGAUUAACCAAAUUCGUGUAUAUGGUAUUUCAGUUUGGACAAAUUUUGUUUAUUCAGUCGUUUCAGGAAAAUUUUUAUUCAGAUGAACCAAAAUGGCAUAAAAAUGCACCUAUUAGUGUACUGAAAUGCACAAAUUGAUAAAAUAUAGCCUAAUUGCAAGGCAAUAUCAAGCAUUUUUGCAAUGUAAAUUGUCAGAAUUAUAUUAUUAAAUAUGUAUUAAAAAAAUUAAGUGAGAAAACAUAAUCUUAUAAUGAUUGUUUCUCUUUUAAUAAACAUGUAAAUAAUGAAAAAGUGGACUAGCAGCAGCAAGAGUAAUUUUAAUGCCAUAAAAAAAAAAAAUCAAGAAAAAAGUGAGUGAGCAAUUGAUGACACACUCACUCUUUCCACCCUGGGGAGAACAAAGCUUUCCGACACGUCUAGUCUGUAUAGUAAGUGACUAUCCUUCCAUCCUGGGGUGGUAGCAGGCAUAGCCACAACACAAGACUUAGCCAAGGAGAGCGAACCCGAUACAAUAAACAACAUGUGAACACAUUAGAACCACCCCACCAAAUUUCAGAAUAUUUUUAGGAAUUUAGAAAAAAAAUUUGAAGUGAAAUAUAUUUUCUUUUUUUUCUUUACUUUACUUUACUUUUUUUAUGGUUACAUUGAGGAUUUUGUGCUCUCCUGUAUACCAAGUGCUAUAUUAUUGUCUAGCAAGUAGGUCUGAUAUUGCAACAUUGCAGCAUUGCAGCAUUGUAUGCUAUAGCAAUAUUCAGGUUGCUACAUUUAUUUUGUAUCUCAGCAUUCAAAGACUGUAGUGUACCAGUAUUUUGCAUUACUGCUCAACUUUCUUACUUUUGCACCAAUUUGUGUGUAUUUUUAUCUAUGUUUAUACAUAUAUAUAUAUAUAUAUAUAUAUAUAUAUAUACACACACACACUAUUUAUGGUUUCUUUUAACUUGCAUUAUAUUGAUUUCUAUUAUUAUUAGGUUAUUAUUUAUAUAGCGCCAAAAAAUUACGCUGCGCUUUACAGUGGGUGGAUGAACAAACAUGUAGUUGUAACCAGACAAGUUGGACACACAGGAACAGAGGGGUUAAGGGCCCUGCUCAAUGAGCUUAUAUUCUAGAAUGAGUGGGGUAAAGUGACACAAAAGGUAAGGAUAGUAUUAGACUAAUGACCGUUGCAAGAGAGAAAUUAGUCGGGAGCUAUUAACAGUUUAAUUGAUACGCUUUAAUGAAGAAGUGGGUUUUUAUUGAUUUUUUUGAAGAAGUGGAGACUGGGUGAGCAUCUAAUGGAGGAGUGAAGUGAGUUCCACAGGAACGGUGCAGCCCUUGAGGUCUUGAAGGCGAGCAUCAGAGGUGGGUGUACGGACAGAAUAUAGACGUAAGUCUUCAGCAGAUCGUAAGGGCCUAGACGGGACUUGCUUGUGUAUUAGGGAGGAUAGAUAGGUGGGACCAGCAUUAUGUAGAGAUUUGAAUGCAAGAACCAGAAUUUUAAAUUGAGCCCUAUAUCUUACAGGAAGCCAAUGUAGGGACUGACAGAAGGGUGAGGUGUUGGAGGUGUGGGCGGACAGGAAGACGAUCCUCGCCGCCACAUUCUUUAUGGACUGUAACAGCGCAGGUUGGGAGCACGUAAGACCACUGAGAAGCAGAUUACAGUAGUCAAGGCGAGAAAGGACAGUGGAAUGGACCAACACCUUAGUCGCAUCUGGCGUUAAGUAGGGUCGGAGGCGCACAAUGAUUUUGAGAUAAAGAACAGUAGGGGACCAAGGACUGAACCUUGGGGGACACCAACAGAGAGGGUUUUGGGAGAAGAAGCAGAGCCAGAGAAAGAAACACUGAAAGAGCGCUGGGAGAGGUAGGAGGAGCACCAGGAGAGAGCAAUAUCUUGUAGAUCAAUAUUGCGGAGGAUGAGAAAAAGCUGUUGAUGAUCAACAGUGUCAAUAGCCGCAGAAAGGUUAAGGAGAAUUAGAAUAGAGUAGUGACCAUGAGAUUUUGCAGCGAGUAGAUAAUUGGAUACUUUGGUCACAGUUGUUUCAACAGAGUGCCGAGCACGGAAUCCAGACUGAAGUGGGUCUAGCAGAGAGUUGGACUUGAGGAAGUCUGUCAAUCUAGCAUACACAACUCUUUCAAGGAUCUUGGAUGCAAAAGGCAGUAGCGAGAUAGGAUGGUAGUUGGACGUGGAGUUAGGGUCAAGGUUGGGCUUCUUUAGAAUUGGGGUUACAGUUGCAUGUUUGAAGGGCGAUGGAAAUAUGCCAGAGGAGAGAGAAUUUUAGUGAGAGGUAGAGAAAGAGAAGAAGACAGAGUACUGAUGAGAUGCGAGGGAAUUGGAUCUAGAGAGCAGGUGGUGGGGCGGGAGGACUGGAGCAGAGAAGAAAUCUUUUCCGCUGUAGCAGGUGCGAAUGAAGAUAGAAUAGCAGAGGGAAUAAGAUUAGGGGAAGUAUUGUAAGGAGAAGAAGAAAUAUGAGAGAUCUCUUCCCUGAUUGUAGAGAUCUUGUCAGUGAAGUGAGUUGCAAGUCUGAGGCGGUCAAGUUAGUAGGUGGAGGAGGAACAAUAGGGUGAAGAAGAGAGUUAAAUGUGUGAAAUAGUCAUUUGGAUUCGCUGGAGAGUGUGGUUAUGAGGGUAUUGAAGUAAUUUACUUUUGCAGAGGAAAGAACAAAGCUGUAUGAGCGCAGCAUAAAUUUAUAGUGGAGAAAGUCAGACGUACAGUAAGACUUUCUCCAACAGCGUUCAGCAGUUCUGGAGCAUUUUUGGAGGUAUCGAGUCAGCUUGGUGUGCCAAGGUUGUUGUUGGGGGCACUUGCUGCGUUUAAAUGUAGGAGGUGCCUUGAUGUCUAGUUAAGAGGAAAGGGUGGAAUUGUAGAAGGAGGUAGCAGAGCUAGGACAGGUGACGUUUGAGAUUAGUCAAAAGAGUUUGGAGAUUAGUGGAGAAAUGCUCUAGGUCAAGAGGUUUAUGUGAGAUUAAUGUUCAGAUGGUGGUGUCAAUUGGGUCUUGGAUAUGCCGAUGUCAAAAGUCAGCAGAUGGUGGUCAGAUAGAGGAAAAGGAAUAUUGGAGAGAUUAUAGGCGGUACAGAGAUUGGAGAAGGCGAGAUCAAGAGUGUUUCCCGCUGGAUGGGUUGCUAAAUUGGACCAUUGCAUGAGGCCAAAGGAGGAGGUUAUAGAGAGCAGACGAGAGGCAUCAGUGCAGGGGUUGUUGAUUGUGAUAUUGAAAUCCUCAAGUAUAAGGGAAGGAGUGAUAGAUGAGAGGAAGUGGGGAAGCCAGGAAGAAAAGUGCUCAAUGAAUAGCCUAGAAGGACCGGGGUGAGGGAAUGUGGGGAGGAGGAGGGGCGGUAGAUGAUAGCAAUUCUUAAAGGAGUGGGUUUAAAUAGGCGGACAGUGUGAACUUCAAAAGAAGAAAAGGAUAGGGCAGGGGCAGUUAUGAUUGGUUAAAAGGUACAUUGAGGGGAGAGAAGGAUGCCUACACCACCUCCUUUACAGUUGAGUCUGGGAGUGUGAGAGAAUUGAAGCCCACCAAAACAUAAAGAGGCAAGAGUAGCGCUAUCAGAGGGGUUCAGCCAGGUCUCUGUAAGUGCAAGCGGUGUGAGUGAGUUUGAGAUAAAAAAAAGUUGUGUAUGGCUGUUGAUUUUAAAUUACUGCAGAUGGAGCGGGCAUUCCAGAAAGCACACUGAAUGUUGGUAAGUGAGGGUAAAGGGCAGGGUAUUGUGAUGAGGUUUGUGGGGUUUCUGGUUUUCUUAGUGUGUGUAGAGAAGGCGAAGGGCCCUGGAUUGGGAGAUACAUCACCAGCUGCUAGAAGCAGGAGGAGAGAAUAAAGCAGGAGGAGAGAAACAAGAGUUACCUGUUUCUGCUUUAUCUGAAUAUCUGCUCCUGGCUAUUCUUGCACAUUGGUGUAAGGAUUUUUUAUUAUAGUCAAGACUCAGCCUGGCCAGGCAAAAUCCCUACAUUGAAACACAUUUUUUUUAAAAGAGGAAGCACCAAGAGUAAAUUAAUUUGAUAUUUUUUAAUGAGGUAAGUGAACUAGGGGACGUCCUAAUGUUGCUGCUAAAGGUACUCUCAGUAUGUAUUUAGGAAAUUCCUGAAUGCUUUGCAGACAUGUUGCUUCUUCUAGUGCGCCUAGCUGACUCUUCUGCUGCAACUAAAGAGUAUUCUGCUAGUUUAGACUUUUACCAACUGCAGCAUAAAAAGGCAGAGGAAAAAACAUAGUGCCUCCUGGGUGGAAGUUGGAUGUAACGGACAUACAAGUCCAGCUAUCCUGAGGCUGAUCCAGUCGUUUAGCCAUCACUAUUUUGCCCUUGUCAAAGUCACUUUCACUUACCCAUUUUUCCUGCUUCUAACACAUGAAAUGAGAACUGGCACUUACUUGCUUAAGUAAUUGGUAAGCAGAAAAGAGUAAUCAGUUUGCAGAAUAAAACAGUAAAUCCUUCGUCUGCUAAGAGAAUCCAGUCCUGUAUGUAUAUAUCUGUAAUGUAGUGCCUGCAAUGUGUAAAAUUACAUCUGGAGCUCAUUAUUUUCAAGAUGUUGGACUUGCAUUAUAGAAAUGUUAUUGAGUAAUAUGAUUAGGAGAAAAGUAGUAUGAUUAAUAAACACAAUAAAUAAAAAUGAGAUAUUGAUGAAAAAUCGGUGGCGAUUAACGACAUCCCUCCAAACCCCAGUGGAUACUCAGACUAAGUUUUAGUUUGCAUUACAAACAAUUUUAUCAAGGCCGCCUACCAUACCCCUGCCCCAGCACUAGGUUUCAGUGGAGAAAUGAAUUUCUUCACUGGGGUGCUGGUGAAGACAGACUGAAUAUAAAUUAGUAUUUUCUAGUGAUGGUAGAUAUAGGGAGAUAAAAUACCUCCAUUAUAGCAAUAUAAGUGUCUUAUUGAACCCCAUAUGCUUUUUAUUUAUUUUACUUUUUUUUAUGUAGUGGCAGGCUAGCAAAUUCUGGCCAGCCCCCAUAUAAAUAACCUUCAUGCCACAGAGUUUUUUUUUAAUUAUUUGCCCACUAACUGCACGGAUAGUUGUCAAAUAAUUCUUCAAAUUAUGAAAGCAAGUGAAUGAUCAUUUGAAAAUGAGCACCACGCAAGAUGCAUUUUGGCCCUGAAUUUCACCAAUAUUGGUGCAUUGUGAAUCCUACGAAUCCUAUACUUUGUACACGAUUCAGAUGCGUAAGCACCGAUUUUAAUCUGGGCCCGAAAUACAUUUGUGUGAUUACUGCAGAUUCACUUGUGCCGACUGAAUUGUGAUUUUGGUUAUUUUCACCAGAUUUUAUCUAUUUGGAAACAAAUCCUGCGUUUAUUGAAUAAACCCAAUUGAUUUCACGAAUAUAAAAUAUAAUAUAUUUUCUUUCCUAGUUUGUUGCAAAAUUGGAAGUGCUUCAAACUGGGUGGGGCUUUUGCCUUCUGUUGGAUCAACAGCAAAAAACAAAUGUGAGAAAGGCUGAACUUGAUAGACGCAAGUCUCUUUUCAGCUAUGUAACUACGAAUGAAGUCUUUAAUGUGCUUUUUAAUUGUCAGCAUUAAAACUGAGAUUCCCACCUGGUUAUUAAUUCAAACUUAUGUCAGUUUGGUGACAAUUAUGCAGCGUAUAAGCUGCUUACAAAGAUUGGAGAUUGCAACAAAUGCAGAAUCUUUAUGUCAGCUUUUUUUAAUUAAUGUAUAGUUGCACAUGCACAAAUUACUGCUUUAUUGUUAAAACACAACCCUGGAGUGUCCCUAUAGUGUAUAAAUGAGUUUUAAGAUAUUAUACAAGCAGAAAUAGGGUAAUUGUGUGAAGCCUGCUCUUAUUUUGAGGGAAAAAAAUGAGGUUUAUUCACUAAACAGUAAAUUGCUAUGAAUUUAAAAUUGUUUUGCAAAAUUUAAACCAAAAUAGAAAAGCUGUGGCUGAGUUUCAUUUUUUUUAAAUACCAAAUUUUGGAAUUUGGAAUUCAAUUUACAAUUUUUUUCCAGUUCAGUGAAUAAACCCUACAGCCACCAAAUAUAUGCUCCUUUAAAAGUGUGUUUUGGACCUCUUCAAAUCUCACUGUAUUUCUUUCCAGCUCAGUAGCACUUCCUGAAGGCCACAAAUACAGGACGAGACUGGAGAAUCACUACCUCUUCUUCGUGUAAGUCUUAUUUAUGUUGAAUUUAGUUGCAUGUCUCAUCUACUGAUUUUACUGUGCUGCAUAAAAUAUUGGCAUUUCAUAAAUAAUAUCUGAUCUACUACUUUUAAAUUAUAUAUCCAGGGGCCUAAGUGAUUGCACAUUUAUAUUAUAUUACCCAACUGUUAUAAAUGUAUAACUUUGCAAUAGCCGAUGGCCAAAGAAUGGAUUAAGAUGUCAAACAAUUGGUCUUCUGUUAAUGGACUUUUCUUGACUAAACCAAUAGAUAUCACAGCCCAACCAAACAUACAUGGAUGGCCCUCAGCACAUAUAUCAAAGCUCCCUCUGGACAGUCAAGAUGAGGCCUGUUUUUGUUACUUUUCCUAAAUGACAGCAACCAGAAGUAAUGUUCCCUAUUUUUUGUCUUACUUGGUGUGUGCAGAAAUUUUCUCUUGAGCAAAUUUUUUUCCUCCUCCAAAAUUGAAUGCUUGUGCUAAUGUAAACUUCAAAUUAUUUCUUGAUAAUUUGGUAUAGCCUCGGUCUCAUAGUUUAUAACAUUACAUUAUAGGAUUACUGCGUGACAAUGUAGCAUUAGUAGUUACACAACAGCAUUACUGUAAUGUCAGCCAUUCAGACAGACAAGCCUUGCUGCUAAUGCCCAUUUUGGUCUUCAAGACAGUCCAUCGAAAGCAAUCAGGGCCAGACUGGCCUACCAGGACACCAUGAAAUUUCAUGGUGGGCCGCAGCACCUGGGGCUGGGCAGUGUAGCCAUUGUUUCUGCCUGCCUUUUACUUGUGAAAGAUGGCUGUCUUAUCUGGUAAGUGCUGGUAUAAAAAAGUUUCCAAGGCUGCUUUUUAGUCACAGUAAGGCCCUGAAAGCAAUAGGGGUCAACUGCGCCGAAAAGGAUACACACAAUUAAAAAUGUUCACAUUCUCCAGCUUGUUGCCUAUAUAUUUCGCCCCAAAGCUUCAGCUUGUGUCACCCAUAGAUUUUUCAAAAAGAGCUCUUUGUCCAAUAAAUGGUGACAUAUACAUUAAUGCUUCUUAAACACGCGCAUAAAAACACUGACUCUCAGUGACAGACACACAAUUUCACUGAUUUGAAACACACACUGACACACACUCUCAAUGAGAGACACACACUCUCACUGUUUAGAAACACUCACUGACAGACACACUCACACAUUAAUUUUAUUUCUUGUUGUUAUAUUUUAUUUUUUUAUUCCAUCCAGCCUCCCUAUCUUUAGGAAAAUUGGUGUGGGUACCCUCCCUGGGGUCUAGUGGGGAAUUUCUGAUUGGGUCCUGUGGGGAUCUUCUUUCUGAGGUCCAUUUGGGAUCUUCUCUCUGGGAUCCAGAGGGGAUUUUCUCCCUGGGUCCAAUGGGGAUCUGCUCUCUAGCGUACAGUGGAGAUUUUUGAUGGGGCUAGUGAUGCUGGGGCCUGAGUGACAUCAUAUUUCGGUUCACGGCAUCACCACAGUGGGCACGCAAGGGAGCAGGAGGUACAGGUAACACAUCAUCAGUGCUUCCUCGCCACCUGCCUGCUCUCUCCUCCAUGGUAUAUAUCGACAGAGUAGACACCUGCUUUGUGAGGAACGCAGAUGCCUACUCUGCAUUACUGAAUAAAUGCCUGCUUUUGGGGCGACCUAAGAUGGGCCCCCCUGACAGGCCAUUGGCCCGCCGCUGGUGGCGCCCUCCACCCUCGGGCACCUGGGCCCUGUGCACGCCGUGCAUCCAUGCAGUAUCGGCCCUGCCAGCAGGUGAUAAGUUUAAAAAUAAAAUGUAAUUUUUACACUGUGUGCGCUCCCUCAGAAAGGUAUGUGCACGUACAGGAGCACCCCUUAGAGGGCACUCUGACCAGAAGUGUAAAAAGGCUUCAAGGACACACACAACUUCAGUUCUGAAGGUGUCACAGAGGAAGUUGGGACAUGUUAUUCUGUUAACAAUAUUGACACCUACACGUAACCGCUGCAUAUCCUGUAUUUUGCCUACCCAAGGGUGACUGGACACAAAGUUAGGAAUUAAUUUGCUUGGACGCUUCAUUGUGUGACAGCGUGGCUAUAUAUGUGCUGUAUAGCAAGUAGUUUAACAGCACAGGACAGCAUCAAGAUAAUUAUUCUCACACACAGCCACUAAAAUAGUGUAGAUUGUAAUAGCCUUGCAUGCCAGACCCUUCUCUUACCACUCAUAUACAUGCAUUCUACUGCUAAAUACAUUUUUUAUAUUAUAGGAGAAUUUGCAAUCUUAGUUACUUAUUCCGGUAUUCAGAGGAUCCUUUUUUUACACUAACUAUAUCAGCUCACAUCUGUUCUCUUACCUUUGGCCUCUAUUUAAUGUAAUCGUUGAGAAUCUUCACAUUAAUAAGAAUUCCAUUUUAAGCUCUCAUUCUUUCUCUUCAAUUACAGAACCUUCACUCCUUCAUGAUGUAUCUCCUAGUGAUGACAUCUAAAACAUUGUUCGAGAAUCCUCUGAAAUGCCUCCAC